AGAAGAACUGUGCCAGGUGCAACAUUUUGCAACUCGAGGCAAUCAAUUACCAGGCGUCCGUGUGUUUCUGUAAUUUUUAUUAUCCAUGUUUGCUAUUCGUUUGCAUUCCCCUAGUGAUGUCUGUGUAAACUUCAGUUAUCAUCUUUCGAUGAAGAUUUAUUUAAAAGCAUGGUGUCUUCAGAACAGAUGCCAAGUCAUUGUUCAAAAAGUCUUUCCAAGGACAGUGCGUUUGUGUACGGGAGGUGUUCUUUUGCUCAAGAAUUGAUCUCGGCCUUGUUACUGUUUAACUUUGACAUGCAUCAUGAUUAGAUCCACCAUUCUUGUGAUCUGAGAACUCUAGAGGGUGACAUAUUAAAAUCUUCUUUGGUGGGUAGCUAACGGACUUUACCUAAAGGCCGAAGAGAUAUGGUUUUGUAGACAGCAUGAUAUGGGCCAGAGACAAAUUGAAAGAUUUGUUCUAUGUAGCCACUUGCAAAGGGUAGGAAGCAGUAGCAUUAUUUUACAGCUAUGAAGAUACAACUAGUGAUUGAAAACUUUGUAGUCCAAAAUUCCAGAUACCCUCUUGCUCCACAGAUACAAAGAGGAAAACUUAAAGCAGUAGUUUCCACGCUGUGACAGGUGCAACAUUUUGCAAUUUGAGAACUGUUGUAGGUGGCAUUAUUUUACAGCUACAAAAGCUAGCAAGAUGUUGAAUAAGAUUCAGACUACAGGCUGGUACAGAUUGCUUACUGCGCAGAAGCACCUGAGGCAAAGAUUCGGGAAUCGCUGUAGACUGUAGUUGUUUGAUUGUUUCCUCCAUUUGUAGUCCAAAAUUCAGUCCACCUAACUGAAUGAUUGAUUUGUAGACGAUUUACAGCUAUGAAGAUACUACUACUGAUUAAGAACAGUACUGUGCCGAUCGCUGCGCAGAAGCACCUGAGGCGAGAUUCGGGCAUAUUCCUGUAGUUGUUUCCUCCCUCGUGGGUUUGGAGAAAUAGAAAAGAAAAGGCAGAAAACCCUCUUGCUUCACGGUUACAAUCUUUAUCAAGGAGAAAUAGAGUUCCAGAUGCCCUCUUGCUUCACAGAUACAAAGAGGAAAACUUAAAGCAGUACUCCCUCUGUAAAGUUAAAGUGGGAGUAGUUUCCACGCUGUGCCAGGUGCAACAUUUUGCAGUUUGAGAACUGUUGCAGGUGGCAUUAUUUUACAGCUACAAAAGCCAGCAAGAUGCUGAAUAAGAUUCCAGACUAAAGGCUGGUGCAGAUUACUGCGUAGAAGCACCUGAGCCAAAGACCCGGGAAUUGCUGUAGACUGUAGUAGUUGUUUCCUGCAUUUGUAGUCCAAAGUUCAGUCCACCUAACUGAAUGAUUGAAUUGACCGGUAGGUGUGAUGUGAGUGAUGAACCUGAAGUUUUGAGAUUCAAUUUUUUGCUUGUUAUCCUCUAGCAAUUUGGUAGAGAGAUAAACUCGUCAAGUUUAAUCUCCAGAGAGUUCAGGUAUUAUGUGGCCAGCUCUGUUUUAUGUAAAACAGCGAUGAAAAAAGGAUAAUCUAUGAAGUACAGUUUGACCUCUUACUUCAAAGUUAGAACAAGAAAAGUGAUUGCAACUUGUACAAACAUGUGUAAGAAAGUCUUCCACAUGCAGACAGACUUCCUUGACACAUGGACGAACAAUUUUGUGUAGCGUCAAAAACUCUUUUGCCUGAUUCUUUCACCUCUUGCUAACAAUCAAACCACCAUGGUCUGCCUGUUGUUUUCGCCAUGGGUGAGCGGUGCACCACCUCCAAACCCAACCAACGACAAGAUCUAUCUCUCCAGAACAUUCUCUACUAGGCUGAAGAGAUGCAGACAAAGGCUCCGCUGUGGAGAUGAGGCCAUAACCAUAAUGGCGCUACCAAUUGCAUUUGCAUCGCCAGCGGUUCAGGAAGGCACUUGCGGGUUCUGGCGUUGGGGCAGGGCAGCAAUAAUUGCUGUAUGUUUUCAGUUGCUUUCAGGUUUCGGCCCAGGCAGAUGCAGAUGGAGGGGUCGCCCAUGGCCGUGGGUGGUGGCGGUGCAAUGCAAACCCCAGGAGUCUGGAUGAUGGGGGCUGAGGAGGAGGACGAUGGGUGGUUUAUUGGCUUGGUUGCGCGGCCCCCACCGUGAGGGGAUGGGAGAGUAUUGGUGUUGCAAGCUACGGUGGUCAUUGGGCGAAAGGUAGUUGUCAGGUUAGGCUUGGACCAGAGCAGCAGCAGCUUCAUUAGCGAUGGAUGAAGCAGCUAUUUUCUGGAAAUACCUAUAUCUCGCUUUUGCUUAUAGCUUUUUUUAGGGGUAAAGCCAAUUUUAUUUAUCAAAAAUCAUAAAGUGUGGGAUACAAUUCAGAUCAUGUGGUUGUCUGUGUGACGCCUCUGACCAGACCUAGGGAGAGUGAAUGAUUGGCUAACCUAUGUACAUCAUAAUUAACAGCACCACCUUCGAAAGAGAAAUUACAUUGAAACAAAACUGCUCAUGGACUAUGGACCCAUUCUUUACUCUACCACCUCGAGUAAUAUUUGCUAUAGUUUGUUUGGAGUACGAGACGACAACCAAAUUCUGCAAGUUAAGAUCUUCUGCCAUGGCUAGAGCCUCUCUGCAGGCUACGGCCUCCAAUAUCGCUAGAUCAUCGAGACCCGCGAUCACUAGGGUCGUACUCUCAAGGUAGUUUCCUUGACUAUCACGGCAAACCACUGCCGCCGAUGGAAAAUCCUAUUCGCCACUCGCUGCGGCAAACUGUCGAGCAAUCGCACAGGGGCAGCGUAGCGAGCGACAGAAAUGGGCCGGCCCACAUAUAAUGCAUCCAAACCGGUUUUGGGAACCUUCCAGAAGGUUCCCUGAACCGUCUUUUUUUCCUGUAUCAUUUUUUUCUGGUUUUUUUGGCUUUCUAUUGUUUUUUAUUUCUCUUUUUUUCGUUUCCGUUUCUUUUUCAUUUUUUCGUUUUUUGUUUCUUGUUUCACUUUCUUUUUCAAGUUUAUUUUUCUGUUUCAGAAUAUGUUUGUAGUUUUACAAAAUGUUUAUGAUUUUCUUUUUUAUUUCCUUUUCUUUUCUUCUCUUCCUUUAAAAAAACAAAAAUUUAAAUUUUGUUUGUGUUUCCAAAAAAUGUUCUCAAAAUUCAAAAUUUGUUCUCGUUACACAAAAAAGUACAAAACUUCUGAAAUUCAGAAAAUGUACUGAAUUUCAAUUAGUUUGUUCACAUAUUCAAAAAAUGUUCGCGCUUCCAAAUUUGUUCGGGAUUUUUCAAUAUUUCUCUCCGUUUCAAAAUAUGUUUUCAAGAUUCAAAAAAUGUUCGUGCUUUAAAAAAUUGUUCGGACUUCCAAAUUUGUUCGGAAUUUUUCAAAAUUUCUCUCCGUUUCAAAAUAUGUUCUCAAGAUUCAAAAAAUGUUCGUGCUUUAAAAAAUUGUUCACGCUUCUAAAUUUGUUCAGAAUUUUUUAAAAUUGUUCACCGUUUCAAAAUUUGUUUUCAAGAUUCAAAAAAUGUUUGCGAAUUGAAGAAAAGUUCCAGCUUUCCAAAUUUGUUCACAAAUUCAAUAAUAGUUCAUGUUUUUCAAAAAAAUUCACAAAUUCAAAAAAUGUUCUGGAAGUUUUAAAAAUAUAAACAUUUUUAUUUUUUGUUCAAAAUUCAAGAAAUGUUCCCCUUUUACAAAAAAUUUCACAUCAUCAAAAUGUUCAUGUUUCACAAAAUUUGUACGAAAAUUCGGAAAAUGUUUUUAUUUUGAAGAAGAUAUACAUAAUUUUGAAAAAUUCAGUUGUAGGAGGUCGUCGGUUCGACCCAAUAAAUUGUCUGUAGUCUUUAACUGUCGCGCUGCUAAUUGCACAUGAGAAUGUCUACAUCGCAGUGGUUUGCAUGGCAGGCCAAUUAGUGCGAAGUCGCGUGUUCAAGUUACAGCGCUAGCGCUAAUUUCUUUUUUGCGAUUUUUCAUCUCGGGAACGUUCCGCCGCGUGCCAGUGUAAAUGGGCCGGCCCACGCUAGCUGCUCCUGUGCGAAGCGCCGGCAUUUCGCCGCAGCGAGCGGCCUAUAGGUGCUCCCGGCAGCGAGCGGCCGAUCCCCUCUACCAGCACGCACCUGCGUCAACGUGGAUCUUGGAAAGCCCACAGGUAUAGGCUGGCCCAUUAACGCGUUUUCUCGUUCUGAAGUUAAAGAGUCCGCAGGUAUAGGCCGCCGCAUUAACGUGUUUUCUCAUUCGGGCACUUGUUCGGUUCGCUUGUUAUAUGGAUUGUUUUUUUCUUUCAUGUACAAUGGUUGCACUGGUCCAGUUGUUUCUUCGUUCUCUUUUCUUUGGUUUCUUUUGUUCUUUUACCGGUUUUCUUUUGUUUCUUUUCCUUGUUAUAAGCUUGNNNNNNNNNNNNNNNNNNNNNNNNNNNNNNNNNNNNNNNNNNNNNNNNNNNNNNNNNNNNNNNNNNNNNNNNNNNNNNNNNNNNNNNNNNNNNNNNNNNNNNNNNNNNNNNNNNNNNNNNNNNNNNNNNNNNNNNNNNNNNNNNNNNNNNNNNNNNNNNNNNNNNNNNNNNNNNNNNNNNNNNNNNNNNNNNNNNNNNNNNNNNNNNNNNNNNNNNNNNNNNNNNNNNNNNNNNNNNNNNNNNNNNNNNNNNNNNNNNNNNNNNNNNNNNNNNNNNNNNNNNNNNNNNNNNNNNNNNNNNNNNNNNNNNNNNNNNNNNNNNNNNNNNNNNNNNNNNNNNNNNNNNNNNNNNNNNNNNNNNNNNNNNNNNNNNNNNNNNNNNNNNNNNNNNNNNNNNNNNNNNNNNNNNNNNNNNNNNNNNNNNNNNNNNNNNNNNNNNNNNNNNNNNNNNNNNNNNNNNNNNNNNNNNNNNNNNNNNNNNNNNNNNNNNNNNNNNNNNNNNNNNNNNNNNNNNNNNNNNNNNNNNNNNNNNNNNNNNNNNNNNNNNNNNNGUUGCUGAUGUAUAACAUCUUUUUAAUAUAUGAUUAACAUUUUUCAAUGCAUUGCCAAUAUUUUUCUAAUUUUGAAUAAGACUUUUAAGUACAAGAUUAACAUUUUUAAUACAUGGAGAACAAUUUUUCCAUAGACAUUUUUAACAUUUUCAAAUUUUCAUUAAUAAUUUUCAAAUAAGUUUUUAUUUUAAUACAUGGUCAACAUUUUUCCAUACAAAUAUUUAACUUUUUGAAUUUUUCACUCAUUUUUCUCAAAUACAAGAUUAAUAUUUUUUAACACAAGGCCAACAUUUUUUCUAUAUACGUUUAAAACCUUCAAAUGCUUUAUCAGUAUUUUCAAAAUACAAUAUUAACAUUUUCUUAAUACAUGAUCAACCUUUUUUAUACAUAUUUGACAUUUUUUAAAUGCUUACUUAACAUUUUUCAGAUGCAAAAUAUUUUUUUAGUUAUUGAUUAACGUUUUCAAAAUACAUGAUCAACUUUCUGCAGACACAUUUGUUUUCUGUAUACAUGAGAAACACUUUUUGUAUACACAUUUAACAAUUAUGUUUGUUAACAUAUUUUUAAAUGUUUGAUGUAAAAUAUUUCUUGUAAUAUACUCCCUUCGUUCCUAAAUAUAAGUCUUUUUAGACAUUUCAAAUGGACUACAAUAUACGGAUGUAUAUAGCCAUAUUUUAGAGUGUAGAUUCAUUUAUUUUGCUCUGUAUUUAUUGACUUGUUGAAAUCUCAAGAAAUACUUUUAUUUGGGAAUAGAGGGUGUAUUUAUUUAGAAUAUUGGGCAGUAUAAAAAUUAAAAAAAGAAAGGAAAAAAGUAAACCAGUUUGUGGCCUCCCGAGCUUCUGGGCCAGCCCGUCUUACGUCUCCCUUCCGACGAGGCUUAUGGGAAAGCUGGUAUGGGCCUGCCCAUCACGAGGGCAAAGCCGAAUCGCUAGAUGGCGCACACCUUCCUUGCAUUAAUUCAACGGUUGACCGGUGGACAGUUAACAAGUUGAACCUGUCAAACAUUGACUUUAAAAAUAUACGCAAAAAUUGGAAAAUUCGCAAAAAAAAAAAUUUAAAAGAGGGAAAGGUUCACGAGUUCAAAAAUUUCAUGUAUUGAAAAUAAUUCAUCAAAUUUAAAAAAAGUUCAUCAAAAUUUAAAUAAAGUUCAAUGAACUUUUUUUAAGUCACAAACUGGGAGAAAAAAUCUUCGAUUUUGAAAAAAACAUUGAUUCUCGAAAAAAAAUCAUGGAUUUUGAAAAAAGUACACAAUUUUUAAAAAAUUCUCAACGAUUUUAAGAAAUAUCACGAAUUUUAAAAAAUUAUGCUUUUUCUAAAAAUAUGAAAAAGGAAAAAAGUAAAAAAAGGAAAAGGAAACCAAAAACGAAAAAAGAACCAAACAAAACCGCUCCAAGAAAAAAGAAAAAGAAAAAGAAAAGGCAAAGAAAGAAGGAAGAAAAACACCCGAAGAAAACAACGCGGCGGAUGGUGUGCGCCCGUUUGCGAAACCUGAAGAAACAUACACAGAAGGCACCGUUUAGGAUUUGCCGAGGCUUCCCUCGGUCUCGCUAGAAGUGAGGUAUAGCAGUGCUCCUGGGUGCCGUGUGCGUCCAGUAGCGAUUGCUCAGCUGAACAAUCCUCCCUCGCGGAGUGAGCUGGGCUGGUCCACGUAUGCACAUCCACUGUUUGUUCUUUUUUGGUCUGUGGGUGCUGCACGUUUUUUUUCCUUUUCUUCCAGUUUUAUAUUUCAGGUUUUUUUCUUUCUUCUUUUCAGAUUUGUUUUUUCUUAUGCUUUUGUCUUAUGGUCUUUGUUUCUGUUUACCUUUUUUCUUGCCUUUCUUAUGUAUUGUACAAAGGGUUCACUGUGUCUUACGAAAAUAUCCAUCGUAUAUAUAAGAAAAUGUUCACUAUAUGUUAAGAAAAUAUUAAAUAUCAUUCUAAAAACAUGUUAAUUGUGUAUUUAAAAAAAUUCAGCGUAUAUCACAAAAAUAUUCGCUGUAUAUUUGAAAACUGUUCAACAUAUAUCACAAUAAUUUUCAAUGUGUAUUUAAAAAUUGUCCAGAAUAUAUAUAAAAAUGUUCAAUUUAUACUUAAAAAUUGUUCAUCGUAUAUAAAAAAAUUAAAUAGUGUCCAAGAUUUCGAUUUUUUUUACUUUUCAAAAAUUGUUCAUGUUUUAAAAGUUUUUGGAACUUAGAUUUUUAUAUAACUAAAAUUUAUUAAUAAAAUUUUCUUAAACUUUUCACAAGUAAUGUUGAUUUUUUUAAGGACUUGCCGCUCAACUUUGAACUACAAUCCUACUGCUUCGUUUUAGCAACUCUCGGUCGGCAUGUUGUUUGGCUAGGAACGCUGUUCUCCAUCACGAGGUCGGGAGUUCGAUUCCAUGCUUGUACUGUUAUUUUUCAUGACAUGGUUUCAUUCCAUCGACGCCUGUUGAAUGAGUUCACCUAUUACGGCUCCCCUUCAGCGAAAGCUCUCUAUCGGACGCAUGCAGACAUCCAAUAGGAGCUCUCCUAUUCUCAGUCCAAGCAUAUUAUUUUAAUCUUUUUAGCCAUAGGGUUGUUUAUAACAGGUAACUCAUAGAGCGAUCUUUGCAAAGUGGGAUGAGUACGCAUAAAUCUUCUCUCAAGUUUAAGAACAAGUGCAGAAAUACCUUCGGCAUAACUAUUGCUUCUUUCCAGGAUGGGAAUAUCAUUGCAAACCAAAGUCGCCGUACAAGUAAAGAAAUCCUGGAUAGUGAUUUUUUCCUAUGAUAUUCCCACUAACCAUCACAAAAAAUUUAGUAUCCAAAUCUGCGGGAAUUUCUAUUUUAGAAGUUUUAUCAUCCUCACUUUUUUAAUGACAAACUCAGACAUGAUGGCAACUUCAAGCAAACAAACAAGCAAACAAUUUCUUUUGUAAAACUGUUGUAGAAAUGGGGGAGAUGAAAAUGAGAGACAAAUGCAAAUAAAAGGCAAAUAAAAUUAAGAGCAAAUAGAUGAUAGUUUGUGCGAAGGUACAUGAUAGGUUUUGGCAAUGUCUCCCCGACAACGGCGCCAGAAAUUCUUUCCUGCUACUUGUGAGCUUCGUUGGGAUUUCCUCGAAAAGGAGAGAAUGAAGCAGUACAAUAGAGAUAAGUAUUUUCCUCAGUUAAGAACUAAGAUUAUCAAUCCAGUAGGAGAACCACGCAGAACCUCGUUAGCAGUACCUGCACACACAAAAGCAAAUACUUGCACCCAACGCAAACAAGAGGGUUGUCAAUCCCCUUGGCGGUUAUUUGCAAGGAUCAAAUAUUGUAGUGGUAGAUAGAUAAAAUAAAAUAGAAAAAGUGCAGCAAGGUAUUUUUGAAUUUAAUAUAUGAUAAAAGUAGACCUAGGGGCCAUAGUUUUCACUAGAGGCUUCUCUCUCGAGCACAUAACGUAUGGUGGAUAAACAAAUUAUUGUUGAACAACUGGUACAAAAACACGUAGUUAUGACGAUAUUCAAGGCAAUGAUCUGUAUAUAGGCAUCACAUUUGAUACAAGUAGACCGACUCCUGCCUGCAGUCCACCCAUCGAUCACUAUCCAGCAUGCAUCUAGGGUAUUAAGCUAUAAAAAUAGAGUAACGCCUUAAGCAAAAUGACAUGAUGUAGACAAUGUAAUAUGAAUAAACCCAUGGUUUUAUUCUUAAUGACAACAAUACAAAUACGUGUCUUUUCCCUUUUUGUCACUGGGAUGGAGCACCGCAAGAUUGAACUCAUCACAAAAACUCAUUACAAAGCACCUCUUCCAUUGCAAGACAAAUCAAUCAACUUGGCGGAAUCAAACGAAUAGAUCGGAGAGAGAUACAAAGCUAUAACAAUCAGGCAUAAAAGAGUUCAGAUAAUACUCAAAUAUUUCUCAUGAAUAAUCUGAUCAUAAACCCACAAUUUAUCGGAUCCCAACAAACACACCGCAAAAGAAGAUUGCAUCAAAUUGAACUCCAUGAACAUCAAGAAGAACAUUGUAUUGAAGAUCAAAGAGAGAGAGAAGAAGCCAUCUAGCUACUAGCUAGGGACCAUAUGUCUGUGGCAAACUACUCACACAUGAUCGGUAGGGCAGCAAGGAUGAUGUAGAUGAAGGAAAUAUGCCCUAGAGGCAAUAAUAAAGUUGUUAUUUUAUAUUUCCUUAUAUCAUGAUAAAUGUUUAUUAUUCAUGCUAGAAUUUUAUUAACCGGAAACUUGAUACAUGUGUGGAUACAUAGACAUAACACCGUGUCCCUAGUAAGCCUCUACUAGACUAGCUCGUUACAAAGAUGGUUAAGUUCCCUAACCAUAGAAAUAUGUUGUCAUUUGAUGAACGGGAUCACAUCAUUAGGAGGGUGAUGUGAUGGACAAGACCCACCCGUUAGCUUAGCAUAAUGAUCGUUAAGUUUUAUUGCUAUUGCUUUCUUCAUGACUUAUACAUAUUCCUUUGACUAUGAGAUUAUGCAACUCCCGAAUACCGGAGGAACACCUUGUGUGCUAUCAAACGUCACAACGUAAUUGGGUGAUUAUAAAGAUGCUCUAUAGGUGUCUCCGAAGGUGUUUGUUGGGUUGGCAUAGAUCAAGAUUAGGAUUUUUCACUCCGAGUAUCGGAGAGGUAUCUCUGGGCCCUCUCGGUAAUGCACAUCACUAUAGGCCUUGCAAGCAAUGUGACUAAUGAGUUAGUUACGGGAUGAUACAUUACGGAACGAGUAAAGAGACUUGCCGGUAACGAGACUGAACUAGGUAUGAUGAUACCGACGAUCGAAUCUCGGGCAAGUAACAUACCGAUGACAAAGGGGAUAACGUAUGUUGUUAUUACGGUUUGACCGAUAAAGAUCUUCCUAGAAUAUGUAGGAGCCAAUAUGAGCAUCCAGGUUCUGCUGUUGGUUAUUGACCGGAGAUGUGUCUCGGUCAUGUCUACAUAGUUCUCGAACUGGCAGGGUCCGCAUGCUUAACGUUCGAUGACGAUUUGUAUUAUGAGUUAUGUGUUUUGGUGACCGAAGAUUGUUCGGAGACCCGAAUGAGAUCAUGGACAUGACGAGGAGUCUUGAAAUGGUCGAGAGGUAAAGAUUGAUAUAUCGGAAGGUAGUGUUCACACACCGGAAGGGUUUCGGAGUGUAUCGGGUACAUACCGGAGUACCGGAGGGGUUACCGGAACCCCCCGGGAAAGAUAUGGGCCGUAGGAGGGAGGCUAACCAGCCCACAAGGGGCUGGUACGCCCCCCACAAGGGAGGAGGCCGAAUUGGACUACUGAAGGGGGCGCCACCCCCCUUUCCUUCUCCUACUCCCUCUCCUUUCCCCCUUUCCCCCUCGAUAUGAGAAGGAAAAGAAGGGGGCCGAAUCCUACUAGGACUGGUAGGACUCCCCCCUUAUGGUGCGCCCCCUAGGGCCGGCCUCCUCCCUCUCUCUCCUUUAUAUACGUGGGCAGGGCACCCCUUGGAGACGCAACAAUUGUUCCAAGCCGUGUGCGGCGUCCCCCUCCACAGUUUACUCCUCCGGUCAUAGCGUCCUAGUGCUUAGGCGAAGCCCUGUGCGGAUCACAUCACCAUCACCGUAAUACGUCCAUUUUGCAUCAUGCUUUUAUAUCGAUAUUUAUUGCAUUAUGGGCUGUUAUUACACAUUAUGUCACAAUACUUAUGCCUUUUCUCUCUUAUUUUACAAGGUUUACAUGAAGAGGAGAAUGCCAGCAGCUGGAAUUCUGGGCUGUAAAAGGAGCAAAUAUUAGAGACCUAUUCUGCACAACUCCAAAAGUCCUGAAACUCCACGAAGUCAGUUUUGGAAUAUAUUAAAAAUAUCAGGCGAAGAAAGCACCAGAGGGGGCCACCCACCAUCCACGAGGGUGGAGGGCGCGCCCUACCCCCCUGGGCGCGCCCCCUGCCUCGUGGGCCCCCUGGCAGGCCUCCAGUGCCCAUCUUUUGCUAUAUGAAGUCUUUAGCCCUGGAAAAAAAUCAUAAGCAAGCUUUUCGGGACGAAGCGCCGCCGCCACGAGGCGAAACCUGGCAAAACCAAUCUAGGGCUCCGGCGGAGCUGUUCUGCUGGGGAAACAUCCCUCCGGGAGGGGGAAAUCGUCACCAUCGUCAUCACCAUCGAUCCUCUCAUCGGGAGGGGGUCAAUCUCCAUCAACAUCUUCACCAGCACCAUCUCCUCUCAAUGGCUGGGAACGUAGUAAUUUCAAAAAAGUUCCUACGCACAUGCAAGAUCAUGGUGAUGCAUAGCAACGAGAGGGGAGAGUGUCGUCUACGUACCCUCGUAGACCGUAAGCGGAAGCGUUAUGGCAAUGCGGUUGAUGUAGUCGUACGUCUUCACGAUCGACCGAUCCCAGCACCGAAGUUACGGCACCUCCGCGGACUGCACAUGUUCAGCUCGGUGACGUCCCACGAACUCACGAUCUAGUAGAGCUUCACGGGAGAGUUCCGUCAGCACGACAGCGUGGUGACGGUGUUGAUGAAGUUACCGUCGCAGGGCUUCGCCUAAGCACCGCUACGAUAUGACCGAGGUGGAUUAUGGUGGAGGGGGGCACCGCACACGGCUAAGAGAGAUCAAUGAUCAACUUGUGUGUCUUUGGGGUGCCCCCUGCCCCCGUAUAUAAAGGAGCAAGGGGGGAGGCCGGCUGGCCCUAACAGGGCGCGCCAGGAGGAGUCCUACUCCCACCGGGAGUAGGAUCCCCCCUUCCUAGUUGGACUAGUAGAGAAGGAAGGGGAAGAGAGGGAGGAAGGAAAGGGGGGCGCCGCCCCCCUCCUAGUCCAAUUUGGACCAGAGGGGGAGGGGGCACGCGGCCUGCCCUGGCCUCCUCUCUCUGUCCACUAUGGCCCAUUAAGGCCCAUACAAUUACCGGGGGGGGGGGGGAGGUUCCGGUAACCUCCCGGUACUCUGGUAAAAUCCCGAUUUCACCCGGAACCAUUCCGAUGUCCAAAUAUAGGCUUCCAAUAUAUCGAUCUUUACGUCUCGACCAUUUCAAGACUCCUCGUCAUGUCCGUGAUCAUAUCUGGGACUCCGAACUACCUUCGGUACAUCAAAACACAAAAACUCAUAAUACCGAUCGUCACAGAACUUUAAGCGUGCGGACCCUACGGGUUCGAGAACUAUGUAGACAUGACCGAGACACAUCUCCGGUCAAUAACCAAUAGCGGAACCUGGAUGCUCAUAUUGGUUACUACAUAUGCUACGAAGAUCUUUAUUGGUCAAACCGCAUAACAACAUACGUUGUUCCCUUUGUCAUCGGUAUGUUACUUGCCCGAGAUUUGAUCGUCGGUAUCUCAAUACCUAGUUCAAUGUCGUUACCGGCAAGUCUCUUUACUCGUUCCGUAAUGCAUCAUCUCGCAACUAACUCAUUAGUCACAUUGCUUGCAAGGCUUAUAGUGAUGUGCAUUACCGAGAGGGCCCACAGAUACCUCUCCGACAAUCGGAGUGACAAAUCCUAAUCUCGAUCUAUGCCAACUCAACAAGUACCAUCGGAGACACCUGUAGAGCACCUUUAUAAUCACCAAGUUAUGUUGUGACAUUUGGUAGCACACAAAGUGUUCCUCCGGUAUUCGGGAGUUGCAUAAUCUCAUAGUCAUAGGAACAUGUAUAAGUCAUGAAGAAAGCAAUAGCAAUAUACUCAACGAUCAGAUGCUAAGCUAACGGAAUGGGUCAAGUCAAUCACAUCAUUCUCCUAAUGAUGUGACCCCAUUAAUCAAAUGACAACUCAUGUCUAUGGCUAGGAAACUCAACCAUCUUUGAUCAACGAGCUAGUCAAGUAGAGGCAUACUAGUGACACUAUGUUUGUCUAUUUAUUCACACAUGCAUUAUGUUUUCGGUUAAUUCAAUUCUAGCAUGAAUAAUAAACAUUUAUCAUGAUAUAAGGAAAUAAAUAAUAACUUUAUUAUUGCCUCUAGGGCAUAUUUCCUUUAGUCUCCCACUUGCACUAGAGUCAAUAAUCUAGUUCACAUCGCCAUGUGAUUUAACACCAAUAGUUCACAUCACCAUGUGAUUAAUACCCAUAGUUCACAUCGCCAUGUGACCAACACUCAAAGGUCUACUAGAGUCAGUAAUCUAGUUCGCAUCGCCAUGUGAUUAACACCCAAAGAGUACUAAGGUGUGAUCAUGUUUUGCUUGUGAGAGAAGUUUAGUCAACGGGUCUGCCAAAUUCAGAUCCGUAUGUAUUUUGCAAAUUUCCAUGUCUACAAUCCUCUGCACGGAGCAACUUUAGCUAAUUGCUCCAACUUUUAAUAUGUAUCCAGAUUGAGACUUAGAGUCAUCUGGAUCAGUGUCAAACUUGCAUCGACGUAACCCUUUACGACGAACCUUUUGUCACCUCCAUAAUCGAGAAACAUAUCCUUAUUCCACUAAGGAUAAUUUUGACCGCUGUUCAGUGAUCUACUCCUAGAUCACUAUUGUACUCCCUUGCCAAACUCAGUGUAGGGUAUAUAAUAGAUCUGGUACCCAUCAUGGCAUACUUUAUAGAACCUAUGGCUGAGGCAUAGGGAAUGACUUUCAUUCUCUUUCUAUCUUCUGCCGUGGUCGGGCUUUGAGUCUUACUCAAUUUCACACCUUGUAACACAGGCAAGAACUCUUUCUUUGACUGUUCCAUUUUGAACUACUUCAAAAUCUUGUCAAGGUAUGUACUCAUUGAAAAAACUUAUCAAGCGUCUUGAUCUAUCUCUAUAGAUCUUGAUGCUCAAUAUGUAAGCAGCUUCACCGAGGUCUUUCUUUGAAAAACUCCUUUCAAAUACUCCUUUAUGCUUUCUAGAAAAUUCUACAUUAUUUCUGAUCAACAAUAUGUCAUUCGCAUAUAUUUAUCAGAAAUGCUGUAGUGCUCCCACUCACUUUCUUGUAAAUACAGGCUUUACCGCAAAUCUGUAUAAAACUAUAUGCUUUGAUCAACUCAUCAAAGUGUAUAUUCCAACUCCGAGAUGCUUGCACCAGUCCAUAGAUGGAUCGCUGGAGCUUGCACAUUUUGUUAGCACCUUUAGGAUCGACAAAACCUUCUGGUUGCAUCAUAUACAACUCUUCUUUAAGAAAUCCAUUAAGGAAUGUAGUUUUGACAUCUAUUUGCCAGAUUUCUCAAAAUGUGGCAAUUUUCUAACAUGAUUCGGACAGACUUAAGCAUCGCUACGAGUGAGAAAAUCUCAUCGUAGUCAACCCUUUGAACUUGUCGAAAACCUUUCGCAACAAGUCGAGCUUUGUAGACAGUAACAUUACCGUCAGCGCCAGUCUUCUUCUUGAAGAUCCAUUUAUUCUCUAUGGCUUGCCGAUCAUCGGGCAAGUCAACCAAAGGCCACACUUUGUUCUCAUACAUGGAUCCCAUCUCAGAUUUCAUGGCCUCAAACCAUUUUGCGGAAUCUGGGCUCACCAUCGCUUCCUCAUAGUUCGUAGGUUCGUCAUGGUCAAGUAACAUGACCUCAAGAACAGGAUUACCAUACCACUCUGGUGCGGAUCUCACUCUGGUUGACCUACGAGGUUCGGUAGUAACUUGAUAUGAAGUUUGAUGAUCAUCAUCAUUAGCUUCCUCACUAAUUGGUGUAGGAGUCACAUGAACAGAUUUCUGUGAUGAACUACUUUCCAAUAAGGGAGCAGGUACAGUUACCUCAUCAAGUUCUACUUUCCUCCCACUCACUUCUUUCGAGAGAAACUUCUUCUCUAGAAAGGAUCCAUUCUUAGCAACGAAUGUCUUGCCUUCGGAUCUGUGAUAGAAGGUGUACCCAACUGUCUCCUUUGGGUAUCCUAUGAAGACACAUUUCUCCGAUUUGGGUUUGAGCUUAUCAGGAUGAAACUUCUUUCACAUAAGCAUCGCAACCCCAAACUUUAAGAAACGACAACUUUGGUUUCUUGCCAAACCACAGUUCAUAUGGUGUCGUCUCAACGGAUUUAGAUGGUACCCUAUUUCACGUGAAUGCAGCUGUCUCUAAUGCAUAACCCCAAAACGAUAGUGGUAAAUCGGUAAGAGACAUCAUAGAUUGCACUAUAUCUAAUAAAGUACGGUUACGAUGUUCGGACACACCAUUACGCUGUGGUGUUCCAAGUGGCAUGAGUUGCGAAACUAUUCCGCAUUGUUUCAAAUGAAGACCAAACUCGUAAUUCAAAUAUUCUCCUCCACGAUGAGAUCGUAGAAACUUUAUUUUCUUGUUAUGAUGAUUUUCCACUUCACUCUGAAAUCAUCUGUGAAGGUUAGAAAAUAAUGAUACCCGCUGUCGUGGAAUUGUCACGUCAGAUGUCCUCGAGCUAGGACUUAGUCGUGGAGCCAUCGCUACUAGGAAUCUUGAAGGGGUUAUGCGGGACAAGGAACACGAUGAUUUAUACUGGUUUGGCCCCUUACGGUGAAGGUAAAAGCCUACGUCCAGUUUGAGGUGUUAUUGAUUAGGGUUACGAUCGCCAGGGAGUUAAACAGCUACGCCCGGCUUUCGAUGAGAUUGUUGUCGCCCUUAAACCGCUGCCGGGUCCUCCCUUUAUAUAGGGAGGCUGACGCCCAGCAGCCCUUAGAGACCCGGCCGGCUCAUAAGAGCGUCCGGCUCGGACUCUAAACAAUACUUGCCUUACACUACAAGUCUACUAUAACAAUGAUAGUAACUACGGGCUUUAAACCAUAUCCGGGUCUCAGCCCAUCUCUGGCCCAUCAUCUUAGAACUUAACUGCGGGCUUCUGGCAAUGACCCUUAGAGUAACCCGGCCCUCCUGGUGGGUGACUCCAAGGUCUAUAUCCUCAACAUUAGGCCCCAGAUUGACUUGAGCCGGCUCGCGUCAAUCUUCAACUCUGCCGACAGAGAAAAUCUCCGGCUUACCAUUCAUGUGAAGGCCAUAACCCGGAGUGACGUCAUCCUCUGGACUCCGGAUAAUCCGCCGUGACGUCAUCCUCCAUUAAGUCCGUUUUUUACUCCGCCAGAUCCGCAACGGAUCUUUGCUUUUACUGUCAUUCCGAAAAUCGAGGCGCCGUGAGGGGGAGAUAACCACGCCGUGGUCUCCUUGAAUCUCGCGCCCACUUAUGACUCUGCCUUAUAAAUAGGCCGGCCCAACGCUUUCUUCUCACGCUCUCCUUCUUCCUCCUCGCACCGUCGCUCUUCUGCCCGAGCUCUGCCACUGCCGCCGCCGUCGCGCCCUUGACCUUCAUCAACCCGGUCGCUGCAUCACCCUGACUCGGACCAGAUAACGGCGGCGACUUCCGCUCUUCCCCAACUCCGGUGAGUCUCCUCCGCCUUACGAGAACAGAUCUGUGGUAGAGUUCGUCUGUGUUCUUCAUGUUCGUCACCAUAGCCACAAGUUUCGGUAGCUCCGGUAGUCACUACCCCUGUUGAUCUUAACUCUUCGUAGAACCACUGCGGUAGAUGUUUGAGAUCUAUUUCACCUGCAAAAAACCCUCUUUUUACUACAUAAGAACCAUGUUCCACCUCAAGAACUUCUCCUGCCUCUGUUUUUUAGGUCUAGAAAAUUUUCAUUUCGCCCGACCAUUUUGAUCCGAAAAAGUUACUGCAAUAUGUGAAAUCUGUUUUACCACACUUAGUAAAAACUGCAGCCCUUGAAUCUUGGCGGCUUAUAUUUCCGACUUAAAGAAAACACACGCCGUAGAACUUUCCGGUUUAAAGAGAACCAUGCUCUGUAGAAUCCUCCGGCUUAACUGCAGUAAGCCGUAGAUGACCAACUCAUUCUGAAUGCCCCUACUGCUUAGAUAACCCACCGCAUCUGAAUAGAUAUCAUGAGUCCCCUUCAUAAGCCGCCAUUGUAGUUUGAAUGAUAAUCUCCGGCUUACAAUUAACCCGGACACUUUUCUCUUUACCAUAGACCACCAACCUUCACCAUGCCUCCCAAGGCUCCCAUCACUUGCAACUGGAUGAGAUCCAACGUUACGGACGACACCCUGGCCAACUUCGUUAAGUCCGGAUAUCUGCCCAAGAAGGAAGUGACGUCCUACCGUGCCCCUGAUCCAUCCGAAGAAAGACCACAGCCGAGGGACGGGGAGGUAGUGAUCUUUGCAGACCAUAUGAGCCGGGGCUUCGCACCGCCCGGCUCAAAAUUCUUCCGGGACGUGCUCAACUUCUUUGACCUUCGGCCUCAGGAUAUAGGACCCAACUCCGUAUCCAACAUCUGCAACUUCCAAGUCUUUUGCGAAGUAUACCUUGGAGAGGAGCCCAGUUUGCUGCUGUUCAGAGAACUGUUCUACUUAAACCGCCAAAACGAGUGCGCGAACGGGCCAAGUCUGGAAUUAGGCGGCAUCUCCAUCCAACGGCGCAGGGACUGUCUAUUCCCUUACGCAGAGCCGCCAAGCCACCCCAAGGACUGGAAUAUGACUUGGUUCUACUGCCAAGACACGUCCCCGGCUGACGAGAACCCGCUGCCCGGCUUUCGCCCAACACGCCUAGAGCCGACUCAUCCGCUAUCCGACAAACUGACUGCCGCGGAACGCCAGCCUCUGCUUCCAACGAUUAAUAAGAUCAAGGCCCUGCUAGGCAACGGUCUGAACGGAAUAGACCUGGUCCGGGUCUGGAUCUCAUGGCGGGUGAUCCCAUUGAGCCGCCGCCCCGGCUUAAUGUGUGAGUACACCGGGCGAAAGGAUGACCCGCAGAGGCACAGUCGCAAUGAUCUUCCAGAAGACGUUGCUGAAGAAGAGACCAAGGCUCUGUUAAACGAGAGCCUGGCAGACUGUGGAAGAACCGGGCUAGCCCCGUUCUGCAAGACCAAUCCAGCCCCAGCGGUAAACCGCUGACUUUAACCUUUCAACUUCUUUUGCAUGUCACCUUGCUCUGAACCAUUUUAAGAAUUCAUUACUGUAUUUCUCAGGCUGAUGAUAAAUUCUGGCGGGUCAAGUAUGACCAUGAGGCGGCCAAGAAGGCCAGGAAGGCGAAGAAAGCCGCCAAGAAAGCUGCCCCUCGCAAAAAGGGAAGCAGACCCACUGCUUCGGAGCUACUGCAAUUAAGCGACAGCUCCGAGUCAGAGGUAACCCUUAAACCUUUAAACUCUUGCCAUAUUUGUUGUUUGUUGCUGUCCGCCUUAUCAACAUUUUGCUUAUUGACAGGAUGACACCGGCGCCAGUAACCCGGUGGUUGAAGAGGUAACAUCACUUUCCUCCGACUCGGAGCCUUUGCCACAGUUGAAAGUCCGAAGAGUAACCCGGAAAGUAAGCUUUUCUCAUCCAUUAGCUCAUCAAGACCCUCAAUUUCUUUUGAAGCAGCAGGUUCAUGAAAGCCGGCGUCACACCCGGGCCCGCAAGGACACCGACCUCUCCGCCGGGUUACCCGACGCAACAAGGAAGCGUCGCACUGAGGUUUUUUCUCACAUGUACCCUUUUCAUCCGUUGGCGGGUGUCAUCCGUCAGCCACUCAACUCUUCUGACUCCAAUUAUCAGGAGACCUCCCCCUCGUCGGGUGACUCCAUGCAGUCAAGUCUACCGGCUUUCAAGACUGCACCCGGGUAAUAACAAUCUCCUUACAUUAUCUGUCUGUACUUAUUCCUUGUGUGCCUGACACUUCUGCUUUUUCAGUGCCCAGGCAAAGCUCACCAAAAGAGCAAAGAAGACCAGGUUAGCCGGAGUGCCGGACUUGCCUGAGCCGGAGGCGACGGCUCAAGAGCCGCCAGCUGCCUCCGCCCCUGAAGCCACUAUUCCCAUGGACACGGCACCUGAAGCCCCUGCCCCGACUACUAAGACAACGACCGAAGCGUCGGUUAACCCGGAGGCCUCCGGCUCAGCCCCACCAACUGACGACCCGGACGUGGUAAUUACCCGGACGGAGUAUGUUGAGCCGGGGCGGCCGACCGUGCUAGCCAAAUGCUCCGCGAAGGGGGGGGUUGCUGCAGCCCCACCGGGUGAAUCUGGACCUCUCCAGCUACACCAACUUGAGCGUUGGAGAGCUCGUCUCUGGCUACAUCAACCAAGUUCACAAGAGCCGGGACGCCGAGAUCGCCAUGGUCAACCAGAUCCAACAAAAAUCUGAGGUAUCCUUCUGCUGUCUUCUUACUUUCCGCAUAGUGACCCUUGUCAUGCUAGCCCCCAAGUCGACAACUUAUACUUGAACAUGUUGUAGACUUAGGCCCCGGCUUACUCAAUUAAGCCGGCAGUACGUAGAUAGAUACGUUCAAUACGCAUUAGCCCCCAAGUGCCAAGUGUCUUUGCUUGGAAAGCGCUUGGGACUUAUGGAAUGACUGUUAAUAACCCGGAAAUAUAUGCAGGCUAUUGGCAAGAAAUUAGAGUCGGAUCUUGCGGAUCUCAAGAGCCGGCUAAAGACUCAAGAGAUGGAGACCCGGAAGGCAAACGCCAAGUUUGUCUCCAGCAUCGCCGCUCAAGAGAAGCUGAAGACCGAAUUUGAUGCUGAGCGGAAGGCCUGGGCGGAGGAGAAAGCCGCACUGGUAACCCGGGCGGAACAGGCGGAGAAGGCGCUCUCUGAAAAAACCGCCGAGCUCUCCAGCCUAAAGCGCCAAGUGUCCCAAAUGGUAGCCGCCAUCUUCGGUAAGUCGCCUCACCGGUUUUCAUCCAUGUUAGAAUGUUUACAUUUCCUGAUUCAUCCUUGUCACCGGGUCAUCUGAUGUUGUUAAACAGGUUCCAGAAGCGCUAACCUGAACCAGAGCGUGGUCACCAAGUUAAAGGCCAUGUACACCCUGGUGGAACAGCUCUACACCGGGUCACAGCGGGCCUUAGCUGUGGUGGCCCUAUCCAAUGAGGUGCCAACUCAUCUGGCCGAAGUCCUGCGCCGGCUCGCAGUUCUGCCGCAGCGGAUCCAGGAGCUACGACGAGCAUCCGCGAGAGCCGGAGCAAUCGCCGCGCUGAGCCGGGCCAAAGCAUUCUUGCCAGAGCUAGACCCGGCAGACAUCGCCCUGGGUUACCCCAGCCUGAAGGAAGACGGCUCAGCGUUCGACCAGAAGGAUUUCGCGGCGUGUGUGAAGGCUGUACGCCCGGUGGCUACCAUCAUCGGGAACGACACCGAUUUAACCAAGUAUCAGCCGGGAUAUAACGCGGAGAAUCAGAGGAUUCCAACCCCUCGCUAUGAAGCUCUCAAUCUGAUUCCUCCGGCUCGCCAGCACACCUUCGCCCCGGAGAUUAACCCGGCCGGGUUAAUCGACGAAGAAGCCCAGUUCGAAGCUCUCCGCGGCAUCGACUGGAAAUCGUCAACCUUCGAGGUCUUGGGAUCAACCGAAGCAGAAGACGAGCCGGGGACUUCAACCCAGCAGGCAUCAUAAAGCAGCUGGCGGUUCACCAAAUAACGCUCCAACCUUGAGACUUGAGGAAUUCUGUAAUAGACUAGGUGCGACAAUUUAUCUCUGCCGUGCCAUCGUGCACGUAAUGAAUGCUGAAAUCCCUUGAAAUUAUCUUUUUAAUGUUCCUCCGGGUCAUAGUUAUCCCUUUGUCCUUCUCAACCUUAAAAGGUGCCUUUAAGUAUCUGCAUAGAAAGGCAAAUCACAAGUCUCAAGGCGGCUUACCACCCUGAGAACCAGGUGUCUGAGAUGGAUAACCUGGAAUAUGAAUCAAAAAGGCUGGUCCUUAGUUAUACUCUGAACAUAGCCGUGAUAACACACUUAACGGUCUGUAAGCAUACUUCUGGAUUAAAUAACCCGGGUAGCACGGUUGGUAUCUUAACUCUAAUUGACUUGCCUUGAUGACAUCCAUGAUGCUCAAUUAACAAGAUAAACUCAAAAUUAAACCGGCAGGUGAAACCCGGCCAUGCACACUUUGUCAUAAUCAGAGUAAACUUGUGAUAAAUCAGAACUUAGGGGCUUCCAGUUCGGAUACGACCAGAGACCCGGCCCAAAAGGGGUUAAGCCAAGAUUCGGAUACGAUCAUAUAGCCCCCAAUGGGUGUGGCGAUGCCAAUCAAGAGGGUACCGACAGCUAUGUUCUCUUGGGUUCGAAUACGACCCAUGUUUGAACAGGAAGCCCCCAAGUGAUUCUUAAAAUUGUUUAACGACGCUGAUUCGAAUACGAUCCACGUCGGUUCUCAGAGGGGUUAAACUGUGAUUCAAAUAUGAUCAAAGUUAACGUCCCAACGAGCUCGGCACUGUGCCAAUCAAGUGGGUACCGAUAGCUAUGUUCUCUUUGGUUCGAAUACGACCCAUGUUUGAACAGGAAGCCCCCAAGUGACCUUACUACAUACGGCUAGACUCAGAUACGAUCAUAAGCCGGAUCCUCCACAAAUCAGCAUGUAAAAAUAACACACGCAUAACUGGAGGAGAAAAAAGGACAGAGGUCCUGCUUUAUUGCUUAUCAUAAUAUAUACAUGUCUGAGAUAAAUAUGUACACCACGAGAACCGGUAGCUCAAGUGUAGUAAGGCCGAAGCUGAGCUAUAUUCCACGGCCGACGGGUCUCCUCCUCAGAUUUACGCGAAUCUUUAUGUUCCCGAAUAUCAAUGAGGUAAUAUGACCCGUUGUGCAAGUUCUUACUAACCACAAAGGGUCCUUCCCAAGGUGGGGAUAACUUGUGUACAUCUGUUUGAUCCUGGAUGAGCCGGAGCACAAGGUCGCCUUCCUGGAAGACCCGGGAUUUGACCCGGCGGCUAUGAUAACGGCGCAGGUCUUGUUGGUAAAUCGCUGAAUGGGCUGCUGCCACAUCACGCUGUUCGUCCAAUAAGUCCAGAGCAUCUUGGCGCGCCUGUUCAUUAUCCGUCUCAACAUAAGCCGCCACACGAGGUGAAUCGUGACGGAUGUCGCUGGGGAGGACUGCUUCUGCUCCAUAAAUCAUGAAGAAAGGCAUGAAGCCUGUAGACCUGUUAGGAGUAGUGUUGAUGCUCCAUAAGACGGAGGGCAACUCCUCCACCCAACAACCCGGCGUCCGUUGCAAAGGGACCAAAAGCCGGGGCUUGAUGCCCUUCAGAAUCUCCUGGUUAGCUCUCUCAGCUUGACCAUUGGAUUGGGGGUGAGCCACUGAAGAAACAUCAAGUCGGAUAUGCUCUCGUUGACAAAACUCUUCCAUAGCACCCUUGGACAGAUUGGUGCCGUUGUCAGUUAUGAUGCUGUGCGGAAAGCCGAAGCAAAAAAUCACCUUUUUCAUAAAUUGAACCGCCGUAGCUGCAUCACACUUGCUAACUGGCUCAGCCUCCACCCACUUCGUAAAUUUGUCAACAGCCACCAAGAGGUGGGUCUUCUUAUCCUUGGACCGUUUAAAAGGCCCAACCAUAUCAAGCCCCCAGACCGCAGAGGGCCAAGUGAUUGGGAUAAUCCUCAACUCCUGAGCCGGCACAUGAGCCCGUCGUGAGAACAUUUGGCAACCAUCACACUUACUGACCAAGUCCUCUGCAUCAGCGUGAGCCGUCAGCCAAUAAAAACCAUGACGGAAAGCCUUGGCCACAAGAGAUUUUGAACCGGCAUGAUGGCCACAAUCCCCUUCAUGGAUCUCGCGUAAGAUCUCUUGACCUUCCUCAGGGGAGAUACAACGCUGAAACGCCCCUGAAACACUGCGAUGAUGCAACUCGCCAUCAAUAACAAUCAUUGACUUAGCCCGCCGGAUUACUUGCCUGGCCAGAGUUUCAUCCUCAGGCAACUCUCCCCGGGUUAUAUAAGCCAGAUAUGGCAUUGUCCAGUCUGGUAUGACAUGAAGAGCCGCCACCAGUCGUGCCUCCGGGUCAGGGAUAGCCAAGUCCUCUUCUGUAAGCAACUUAACCGAGGGGUUAUACAGGACAUCCAGGAAAGUGUUGGGCGGCACCGGCUUUCGCUGAGAGCCUAGCCGGCUUAAAGCAUCAGCCGCCUCAUUCUUCCUGCGAUCAAUGUGCUCCACUUGGUAUCCCUGAAAGUGCCCAGCAAUGGCAUCAACCUCGCGGCGAUAGGCCGCCAUGAGAGGAUCCUUAGAAUCCCAGGUGCCUGAUACUUGUUGAGCCACCAAAUCUGAGUCCCCAAAGCACCUUACCCGGCUUAAGCUCAUCUCCUUAGCCACCCGAAGACCGUGGAGCAAAGCUUCGUAUUCAGCCGCAUUGUUAGUGCAAGGAAACAUCAACCGUAGCACAUAAUGGAACUUGUCACCUUUAGGGGAAGCCAAUACAACACCAGCCCCCGAGCCCUCCAACUGUCUGGACCCAUCGAAGUGGAUAGUCCAAUAAGUGUUAUCCGGCUUUUGCUCAGGCACUUGAAACUCCGUCCAAUCAUUGAUGAAAUCCACCAAAGCCUGAGAUUUAACAGCAGUGCGUGGCACAUAUUUGAGGCCAUGGGGUCCAAGAUCUAUAGCCCACUUAGCAAUUCUCCCUGUAGCCUCUCUGUUCUGGAUAAUAUCACCAAGGGGGGCAGAACUGACCACAGUGAUGGGAUGACCCUGAAAAUAAUGUUUGAGCUUCCGGCUCGCCAUGAACACACCGUAUACGAGCUUCUGCCAAUGCGGGUACCGCUGCUUGGACUCAAUGAGCACCUCGCUGACAUAAUAAACCGGCCGCUGAACCGGAUGCUCCUUACCCGCCUCCUUGCGCUCCACUACAAUAGCCACGCUGACGGAUCGUGCAUUUGCCGCUACAUAUAGUAGCAAGGGUUCCUUAUCAACCGGAGCAGCAAGGACGGGGGGCUCUGCCAGUUGCUUUUUCAAAUCCUCAAAAGCGGUAUCAGCUGCAUCAUUCCAGAUAAAGUUAUCAGUUUUCUUCAUCAACUGAUAUAAGGGCAUAGCUUUCUCACCCAAACGGCUUAUAAACCGGCUUAAAGCAGCGAUGCGGCCCGCCAAACACUGAACGUCAUUUAUACAUGCCGGCUUAGCCAGGGAGGUGAUAGCCUUGAUCUUCUCCGGGUUAGCCUCAAUGCCUCUGUCAGAGACCAAGAAACCCAAUAGUUUGCCUGCAGGAACACCAAAAACACAUUUGGCCGGGUUAAGCAUCAUCUUGUAGACCCGGAGAUUAUCGAAGGUUUCCCUUAAUUCAUCUAUCAGGGUUUCCUCCUUUAACCACAAUAUCAUCCACGUAAGCGUGAACAUUGCGCCCGAUCUGUUUAUGAAGACAAUUCUGUACACAACGCUGGUAAGUCGCCUGUGCACACUUGAGCCCAAAGGGCAUAGACACAUAGCAGAAGGCUCCAAAGGGAGUGAUGAACGCCGUCUUCUCCUGGUCCUUAACUGCCAUCUUAAUCUAAUGAUACCCGGAAUAGGCAUCCAAGAAACUUAAGCGUGCACAACCUGCCGUAGCAUCAAUGAUUUGAUCAAUACGGGGGAGAGCAAAAGGAUCAGCCGGACACGCCUUGUUCAAGUCCGUGUAGUCCACACACAUCCGCCAGGUGCCGUUCUUCUUGAGUACGAGCACCGGGUUAGCCAACCACUCCGGGUGAAAAACCUCAACAAUGAACCCGGCCGCCAAGAGCCGGGCCACUUCUUCACUAAUAGCUUUCCGCCUCUCUUCGUUAAACCGUCGAAGGAACUGUCUGACCGGCUUAAAUUUUGGAUCAACAUUGAGAGUGUGCUCAGCGAGUUCUCUAGGUACACCUGGCAUGUCAGAAGGUUUCCACGCGAAGAUGUCCCUAUUCUCACGGAUGAACUCGAUGAGAGCGCUUUCCUAUUUUGGGCCCAGAUUUGCACUGAUGCUAAACUGCUGAGACGAGUCACCUGGAACAAAAUCAACAAGUUUAGUCUCAUCAGCUGAUUUAAAUUUCAUCGCUGGUUCAUUCUCCGUGGUUGGCUUUUUCAGAGAGGUCAUAUCUGUUGGGUCAACAUUGUCUUUAUAAAACUUCAACUCCUCUGUGGCGCAAACAGACUCUGCAUAAGCUGCUUCACCUUCCUCACACUCCAGAGCCACUCUCCGGCUGCCGUGAACCGUAAUGGUCCCAUUGUGACCCGACAUCUUGAGCUGUAAGUACACAUAACACGGCCGUGCCAUGAACUUGGCGUAAGCCGGCCGUCCAAAUAUAGCAUGGUACGGACUUCUUAUCUUGACCACCUCAAAGGUCAGCUUCUCCACUCUGUAGUUGUUCUCAUCACCAAAAGCCACUUCCAUCGAUCUUGCCGACUGGAUAAGCCGACUUACCGGGUACCACACCAUGGAAGAUGGUGUUUGACUGGCUGAGGUUCUUAUCCACCAAUCCCAUACGGCGAAAAGUCUCAUAAUAGAGGAUAUUGAUGCUGCUACCUCCAUCCAUGAGUACCUUUGUGAACUUAUAGCCUCCCACCUGAGGAGCCACUACUAAGGCCAAGUGGCCCGGGUUAUCCACCCGGGGAGGGUGAUCCUCCCUACUCCACACUAUAGGCUGCUCAGACCACCGCAAGUAGCGUGGAACCGCCGGCUCAACAGCAUUAACAGCCCUCUUGAGAAGCUUCUCGUCUCGUUUGCACAAACUAGUGGUGAACACGUGAUACUGUCCACCGCUAAGCUGCUUCGGGUUGGUCUGAUAACCCCCCUGCUGCUGUUGAUGACCCUGACCAGACUGUUGAUUAAAGCCCCCUUGACCGUUCUGAGGACCGGAAUUUGAGCCGCCGCCCGGGCCAUGAAAGCCGCCGGCGCCUGAGCCGCCGCCCGGACCAUUGUAGCUUUUAAAGGCCUUCAUGAUAGCACAAUCCUUCCACAGAUGAGUCGCUGGCUUCUCUCUAGAGCCAUGUCUCGGACAAGGUUCACUCAACAGUUGCUCCAGAGAAGGUCCUGACCCGCCGCCUCGGGGAGGGGGCCUCCCCUUGCGUCGCUGGUUAUUACUUUGAGAGUUGGUGUUGGCUACAAACUCUAGGCUGCCAUCGGCCUUACGCUUGCCUCCUCCUUGGUUCCCCGGGUUAAACUGAGGACCCUUGCCGCUGCCAUUCUUCUUUCCCUUCCCUGCCCUUUCAUCGUCUGAAGGGGGAUCCUUGGUACCAUCGGAAUCGGCGUACUUGACAAGAGCCGCCAUUAGGGUACCCAUAUCGGUGCAGUCGCGUUUGAGCCGCCCGAGCUUCAUCUUAAGGGGCACAAAGCGACAGUUUUGUUCCAACAUUAAGACUGCAGAGCCGGCAUCCAUCUUAUCUGAUGAAUGUAUGAUCUCCUUGACCCGGCGAACCCAAUGGGUCGUGGACUCACCCUCCUGCUGCUUACAGUUAGUCAAAUCCACAAUUGACAUAGAUUGCCUGCAGGUAUCUUUGAAGUUUUGAAUGAACCGGGCUUUCAGCUCAGCCCAAGACCCAAUGGAGUUCGGCGGUAACCCUUUCAACCACGUGCGGGCAGUUCCAUCUAACAUCAUGGUGAAAUAUUUGGCCAUGGCCGCCUCACUGACCUCCAGCAAUUCCAUGGCCAUCUCAUAACUCUCAAUCCAGGCUGUAGGCUGUAAGUCCGCUGUAUAAUUAGGCACCUUCCUAGGGCCCUUGAAGUCCUUAGGUAGACGUUCAUUACGGAUGGCUGGUACCAAACAAGGGACACCCCCGGUCCUGGUGGAAAUUCCCACAUCAACGGACGUCGUUCGAUACGCCGGGGGGGGGGGGUCUGGUAAGCCGUCAAUUGAGGCGCCUGUUCCGCCUCUUGCCGUGCUUGGCCUGCUGCGUAAAAGGCUCCAUUAGGAAUCGGGCCAUGGCCAGGGGGCGGGUCAUGGCGUCGAACAUUACUUGAGCCGGUUGCUGAGACCAUGUGCCGGCUGUAACUCGGGCUCUGGCCUGGACGAGGGGUCGAGUGGAUCCUGUCCCGGCUGUAGGAGUACGCCUCUUGCUGUGCCAGCGCUGUUUGAAGGAGUUCCCUGACCCGGCGGGUCUCGAUAGCCGUCGGAGAGUCACCGUCAACUGGUAGGGCCGCCAGCCGUGAUGCCGCAGCGACCAUGUUCUCCAGCGGGUUGUUAUAAUGACCCGGGGGUAUUGGCACGUACUGAGGCGGGGCAGGGGGCACCUGGGGAGGCCCCAUCACUCGCGGCUGAAUAAGGGGUCCAGACCCGGGUGCCAUGACCCCUGGCGGGUUACUAGACCCUGCACCUGGCGUGUUGAAGAGGUUGCGGGGAUCGUAAACCGGCGGGAGUCGGGACUGGGCCUUUUGAUGCCUCCUUCUCAUGACCUCAUUGGCCGCGUUCUGAUCCAUCGUGAGUUGUAAGGACUGCGCCUGAAUCAACUGAGUCCGGGCAUCGAGAGCCGCCCGCUCUGCAGCCAGCCUGAUUCCUUCUGCCGCAAGAUCUUCUUUAGCUUUUAUCAGAUCCAAUUUCAACUGUGCCACCUCCGCAUCAUGCUGGGCUUGAUCCGCCGGGUCAACCGUGGCGGUUAACAGGGCCGUCAUCUUGUCCGUGAGAUCCAUCAGCACCUGAGCCGGAGAAGGCACCGGGUUUCCCGCUCCAGCAGCAGGGUUCUGAACAGGCUGCGCACCAGCCAUAAAAACUCCAACCUGACUUGGUGGCUCAAAAAGGUCCGGAAUACUGUCACCGUCGGAACAACCCAUGAGCCUGCCAUCUUGAAGUUGGUACAAUGAGUUUGACUCAUCAGUGGCCGACUCGCCGUCAGAGCCGGCGGCCGCCUCAUCACCGGACCCGGAUGGAUCAGAGGGCCCUCCAUGGAUGCAUCCCACAAAAGCGCGCCUUAAGGCAGGCCGGGCCCGGGCGGGUUGUGCGCGCUGAGCCGUUUCGAUGAGAUCGGCGCGGAGAUCCGGCUCGGGGCCCGGCUCACCAAUCUUGCCAAUGAAGACAUGAAUUCCGCCAAAGGGGACCCGGUACCCAUACUCAAUUGAGCCGGCGUCGGGGCCCCAGUCCGCAUCGUCGAUGUAGAGCUUGCCGCGACGACUCUUGGUCAUCCGGCCCACAGCGUAUCCCUUGAGCCCUUCGAAGCUGCCCUUCAAGAACUCAAAUCCACCGUGCGCUGGCCCCACGGUGGGCGCCAACUGUCGUGGAAUUGUCACGGCAGAUGUCCUCGAGCUAGGACUUAGUCGUGGAGCCAUCGCUACUAGGAAGCUUGAAGGGGUUAUGCGGGACAAGGAACACGGGGAUUUAUACUGGUUCGGCCCCUUACGGUGAAGGUAAAAGCCUACGUCCAGUUUGAGGUGUUAUUGAUUAGGGUUACGAUCGCCAGGGAGUUAAACAGCUACGCCCGGCUUUCGAUGAGAUUGUUGUCGCCCUUAAACCGCUGCCGGGUCCUCCCUUUAUAUAGGGAGGCUGACGCCCAGCAGCCCUUAGAAACCCGGCCGGCUCAUAAGAGCGUCCGGCUCGGACUCUAAACAAUACUUGCCUUACACUACAAGUCUACUAUAACAAUGAUAGUAACUACGGGCUUUAAACCAUAUCCGGGUCUCAGCCCAUCUCUGGCCCAUCAUCUUAGAACUUAACUCCAGGCUUCUGGCAAUGACCCUUAGAGUAACCCGGCCCUCCUGGUGGGUGACUCCAAGGUCUAUAUCCUCAACACCCGCCGUGAGCCUCAACACUCAUCGGAUCGCAUACAUCAGUAUGUAUUAUUUCCAAUAAGUCAGUUGCUCGCUCCAUUGUUCCGGAGAACGGAGUCUUAGUCAUCUUACCCAUAAGGCAUGGUUCACAAGCAUCAAGUGAUUCAUAAUCAAGUGAUUCCAAAAUCCCAUCAGCAUGGAGUUUCUUCAUGCGCUUUACACCAAUAUGACCUAAACGGCAAUGGCACAAAUAAGUUGCACUAUCAUUAUUAACUUUGCAUCUUUUGGCUUCAAUAUUAUGAAUAUGUGUAUCACUACAAUCGAGGUCCAACAAAUCAUUUUCAUUGGGUGUAUGACCAUAGAAGGUUUUAUUCAUGUAAACAGAACAACAAUUAUUCUCUAACUUAAAUGAAUAACCGUAUUGCAAUAAACAUGAUCAAAUCAUAUUCAUGCUUAACGCAAACACCAAAUAACAUUUAUUUAGGUUCAACACUAAUCCCGAAAGUAUAGGGAGUGUGCGAUGAUGAACUUAUCAAUCUUGGAACCACUUCCAACACACAUCGUCACUUCACCCUUAACUAGUCUCUGUUCAUUCUGCAACUCCCGUUUCGAGUUACUAAUCUUAGCAACUGAACUAGUAUCAAAUACUGAUGGGUUGCUAUAAACACUAGUAAAGUACACAUCAAUAACAUGUAUAUCCAAUAUACCUUUGUUCACUUUGCCAUCCUUCUUAUCCGCCAAGUAUCUAGGGUAGUUCCACUUCCAGUGCCCAUUUCCUUUGCAGUAGAAGCACUCAAUUUCAGGUUUGGGUCUAGCUUUGGGCUUCUUCACGGGAGCAGCAACUUGCUUGCUGUUCUUUUUGAAGUUCCCCUUCUUCCCUUUGCCCUUUUCUUGAAACUAGUGGUCUUGUCAACCAUCAACACUUGAUGCUUUUCUUGAUUUCUACCUUCAUCGAUUUCAGCAUCACGAAGAGCUUGGGAAUCGUUUUAGUUAUCCCUUGCAUAUUAUAGUUCAUCACGAAGUUCUAGUAACUUGGUGAUAGUGACUAGAGAACUCUGUCAAUCACUAUCUUAUCUGGAAGAUUAACUCCGACUUGAUUCAAGUGAUUAUAGUACUCAGACAUUCUGAGCACAUGCUCACUAGCUGAGCUAUUCUCCUCCAUAUUGUAGGAAAAGUACUUGUCAAAGGUCUCAUACCUUUCGACAUGGGCACGAGUCUUAAAUCCUAAUUUCAACUCUUGGAACAUCUCAUAUGCUCCGUGGCGUUUCAAAAACGUCUUUGAAGCCCCGAUUCUAAGCCGUAAAGCAUGGUGCACUAAACUAUCAAGUAGUCAUCAUAUCGAGCUUGCCAAACGUUCAUAACGUCUGCAUUUGCUCCUGCAAUCGGUCUGUCACCUAGCGGUGCAUCAAGGACAUAAUUCUUCUAUGCAACAAUGAGGAUAAUCCUCAGAUCACGGAUCCAAUCUGCAUCAUUGCUACUAACAUUUUUCAACUUAGUUUUCUCUAGGAACAUAACAAAAAAUAAAACAGGGGAGCUAAACGCGAGCUAUUGAUCUACAACAACAUAGACAAGCAAAAUACUAUCAGGUACUAAGUUCAUGAUAAAUUUAAGUUCAAUUAAUCAUAUUACUUAAGAACUCCCACUUAGAUAGACAUCUCUCUUAUCAUCUAAGUGAUCACGUGAUCCAUAUCAACUAAACCAUGUCCGAUCAUCACGUGAGAUGGAGUAGUUUUCAAUGGUGAACAUCACUAUGUUGAUCAUAUCUACUAUAUGAUUCACGCUCGACCUUUCGGUCUCCUCCGAGGCCAUAUCUGCAUAUGCUAGGCUCGUCAUGUUUAACCCGAGUAUUUCUGCGUGUGCAAAACUGGCUUGCACCCGUUGUAUGUGAACGUAGAGCUUAUCACACCCGAUCAUCACGUGGUGUCUCGGCACGACGGACUUUGGCAACGGUGCAUACCCAGGGAGAACACUUAUACCUUGAAAUUUAGUGAGAGAUCAUCUUAUAAUGCUACCGUCAAUCAAAGCAGAAUAAGAUGCAUAAAGGAUAAACAUCACAUGCAAUCAAUAUAAGUGAUAUGAUAUGGCCAUCAUCAUCUUGUGCCUUUGAUCUCCAUCUCCAAAGCACCGUCAUGAUCACCAUCGUCACCGGCUUGACACCUUGAUCUCCAUCGAAGCAUCAUUGUCGUCUCGCCAACUAUUGCUACUACGAUUAUCGCUACCACUUAGUGAUAAAGUAAAGCAAUUACAGGGCGAUUGCAUUGCAUACAAUAAAGCGACAACCAUAUGGCUCCUGCCAGUUGCCGAUAACUCUGUUACAAAACAUGAUCAUCUCAUACAAUAAAAUAUAGCAUCAUGUCUUGACCAUAUCACAUCACAACAUGCCCUGCAAAAACAAGUUAGACGUCCUCUACUUUGUUGUUGCAAGUUUUACGUGGCUGCUACGGGCUGAGCAAGAACCGUUCUUACCUACGCAUCUAAACCACAACGAUAUUUUGUCAAGUUAGUGCUGUUUUAACAUUCACAAGGACCGGGCGUAGCCACACUCAAUUCAACUAAAGUUGGAGAAACUGACACCCGCCAGCCACCUGUGUGCGAAGCACGUCGGUAGAACCAGUCUCGCGUAAGCGUACGCGUAAUGUCGGUCCGGGCCGCUUCAUCCAACAAUACCGCCGAAUCAAAGUAUGACAUGCUGGUAAGCAGUAUGACUAGUAUCGCCCACAACUCUCUUGUGUUCUACUCGUGCAUAUAACAUCUAUGCAUAAACCUGGCUCGGAUGCCGCUGUUGGGAAACGUAGUAAUUUCAAAAAAAUUCCUACGCACACGCAACAUCAUGGUGAUGCAUAGCAACGAGAGGGGAGAGUGUCGUCUACGUACCCUCGUAGACCGUAAGCAGAAGCGUUAUGGCAAUGCGGUUGAUGUAGUUGUACGUCUUCACGAUCGACCGAUCCCAGCACCGAAGUUACGGCACCUCGGCGGACUGCACACGUUUAGCUCGGUGACGUCCCAUGAACUCACAAUCCAGUAGAGCUUCGCAGGAGAGUUCCGUCAGCAUGACGGCAUGGUGAUGAUGUUGAUGAAGUUACCGACGCAGGGCUUCGCCUAAGCACCGCUACGAUAUGACCGAGGUGGAUUAUGGUGGAGGGGGGCACCGCACACGGCUAAGAGAGAUCAAUGAUCAACUUGUGUGUCUUUGGGGUGCCCCCUGCCCCCGUAUAUAAAUGAGCAAGGUGGAGGCCGGCCGGCCCUAGCAGGGCGCGCCAGGAGGAGUCCUACUCCCACCGGGAGUAGGAUUCCCCCCUUUCCUAGUUGGACUAGGAGAGAAGGAAGGGGGAGAGAGGGAGGAAGGAAAGGGGGGCGCCGCCCCCUCCUAGUCCAAUUCGGACCAGAGGGGGAGGGGGCGCGCGGCCUGCCUUGGCCUCCUCUCUCUCUCUCCACUAUGUCCCAUUAAGGCCCAUACAAUUACCGGACCCCCCGGUAACCUCCCGGUACUCCGGUAAAAUCCCGAUUUCACCCGGAACCAUUCCGAUGUCCAAAUAUAGGCUUCCAAUAUAUCGAUCUUUACAUCUCGACCAUUUCAAGACUCCUCGUCAUGUCCGUGAUCAUAUCCGGGACUCCGAACUACCUUCGGUACAUCAAAACACAAAAACUCAUAAUACCGAUCGUCACAGAACUUUAAGCGUGCGGACCCUAUGGGUUCGAGAACUAUGUAGACAUGACCGAGACACGUCUCCGGUCAAUAACUAAUAGCGGAACCUGGAUGCUCAUAUUGGUUCCUACAUAUUCUACGAAGAUCUUUAUCGGUCAAACCGCAUAACAACAUAUGUUGUUCCCUUUGUCAUCGGUUUGUUACUUGCCCGAGAUUCGAUCGUCGGUAUCUCAAUACCUAAUUCAAUCUCAUUACCGGCAUGUCUCUUUACUCGUUUCAUAAUGCAUCAUCCCGCAACUAACUCAUUAGUCACAUUGCUUGCAAGGCUUAUAGUGAUGUGCAUUACCGAGAGGGCCCAGAGAUACCUCUCCAACAAUCGGAGUGACAAAGCCUAAUCUCGAUCUAUGCCAACUCAACAAGUACCAUCGGAGACACCUGUUGUAACACCCCGGAUGUAACUUUCCAUAUUUGUAACUCCAACUCUUGCCAUUUUUGGCUAUGUGUUAUGAUAUUCCCUCCGUGGUCGGGUUUUCUCUUUCAUUUUGUAUUUUGUUCAUCUCAUGCAUCUCAUAUCAUGUCAUCAUGUGCAUUGCAUUUGCAUACGUGUUCGUCUCAUGCAUCCGAGCAUUUUCCCCGUUGUCCGUUUUGCAAUCCGGCGCUCCCAUCUCCUCCGGCGCACCCCUCUUGUUUUCUUUCGUGACCAGGUGUUGAAUGCUCUCGGAAUGGACCGAGGCUUGUCAAGUGGUCUUGGUAUACUACCGGGAGACCACCGGUCAAGUUUCGUUCCAUUUGGAGGUCGUUUGGUACUCCAACGGUUAACCGGGCAACCGCAAAGUCCAUUUGUGUGUUCCAGCAAAACCCCCCUCAAAAACAGCCCAAAACCCACCAAACUCUUUUCCAUGCUGUAGGUCGUUCGAUCACGAUCGUGUGGGCGAAAGCCGCACCUCAUUUGGACUCUCCUAGCUCCCUCUAGCUAUAUAAAUGCAUCCCCUCCCGAAAACAUCCGCAGUCCAAACCCUAAAAAUCGCCUCCGGCGCCGCCGGACGUGUCCUUACCGCGCCGGACGAACCUGCCGCCGCGUCCGCACCAGUCAGGAGCCGCCACGUGUCCAGCGCCGCCNNNNNNNNNNNNNNNNNNNNNNNNNNNNNNNNNNNNNNNNNNNNNNNNNNNNNNNNNNNNNNNNNNNNNNNNNNNNNNNNNNNNNNNNNNNNNNNNNNNNNNNNNNNNNNNNNNNNNNNNNNNNNNNNNNNNNNNNNNNNNNNNNNNNNNNNNNNNNNNNNNNNNNNNNNNNNNNNNNNNNNNNNNNNNNNNNNNNNNNNNNNNNNNNNNNNNNNNNNNNNNNNNNNNNNNNNNNNNNNNNNNNNNNNNNNNNNNNNNNNNNNNNNNNNNNNNNNNNNNNNNNNNNNNNNNNNNNNNNNNNNNNNNNNNNNNNNNNNNNNNNNNNNNNNNNNNNNNNNNNNNNNNNNNNNNNNNNNNNNNNNNNNNNNNNNNNNNNNNNNNNNNNNNNNNNNNNNNNNNNNNNNNNNNNNNNNNNNNNNNNNNNNNNNNNNNNNNNNNNNNNNNNNNNNNNNNNNNNNNNNNNNNNNNNNNNNNNNNNNNNNNNNNNNNNNNNGCUCGCCCCGCGCCGCCGUGCUCCCGCCGCCGCCGUCCACCGCCGUGCCCCGCUCCCUCCGGCGCCGCGGCCUCCUUCCCCGACGCCGUCGUCCUCUCCUCCUCCCUCCGGUCGCCUCCUCUCCUCCGCCGCGCCUCCUCCCACCGCCGAGCUCGAGAGCAACCGCGCCAGAUCCGAUCGAGGAAGCCCAGUGCGUUGACUUUCCCCUCCCCUUUUUUUCUCUAAGUCCUGGAAGUUUACGUUAUGUGCACCUGUUCAUAGCAUCGUAACUCUCUGCAUAUAGCUCCGUUUCACGCGUGUAAUAUAUCGUAUUGUUCGUCUCGUGAUGCUCUACAUUUUGUUCAAUUGCACCAUGUUCAUUAGAGGCCAUCUUGAUGACCAAAUCUCUGGUGCAAGAGUGCUACUUGCUGUUACUUAGCAGAACUUGGGGAUUUGUUAAUUUUGUAUCAUUUAAUCUGUGCAUCUUAUGGGCAUGAGCUAUACAUGUGUUUUGUUGUAUGCCAUGCCAUCUUUCCAGCGGUGUAUGCCAUGUAUUUUUGUGAUUUCUAUGGUGACUAGAACAAGCAUGCAAACUAGGCCCCGUAAUGUUUCUGAUUUCAGGGACUUGGUGAUUUCUCUAAGUCUUUGUCUGCUGUUAUUUUGUUGCCAUGUAAACUUGAUGCUACAGAGAGAUCCAUGCAUAUUUUGGUGAUGUUCAGUAAGGAUGUUUUGUAGCUAUUGUUGUAAUUGAUCCAUUCCUGCCCUUGUUUGCAAUUAUGGAGUGCCAUAGCAUGACUCAAUCUUGCUCUACUGUUGCUAUAAAAUAUUUCUGGCAGAUUGUUUACAUGUUAUUCAAUUUUGCCAAGCUUGUUGUAGUUGACCCAUACAUGCUAUGUUUUUUCUCUUGCCAUGGAUAGCUUCAUAAACAUGCCAUCUUGCUGUAUGUAUGCUUGUUUUGUUAUGCAUUACUUUGUGGUGAGUGCAUCAAGCUCACCAAGAUGCCUUCAUAUUAUUAUUUCUGCCAUGCUCUGUUUUCUGCUAAGUCUGGAACCUGUUAACGAAAAUUGCUACGUUUACAUGGUUGCCAUCAUAUCUUCUGGUCCUUUUUUGGCUUAUGGUCAGUAAGGGACUUUUGUCAUAUGCAUUUAGUAGAACACUGCCAUGCCUUGUUUUUCUAUGUUAACUUCCUGUAGCAUGUUGAUUUCGUGCUCUGAACAUUGCUACCUGAUGCUGUUUCAGGCAUGUCCAGUAAUUUCACCAAGUCUGUGAUCCUGUUAUCUUUUGCACUUUUGCCAUGCUUGUUUGAGCCUGUUAUGGUGUGAUCUAGCCGUAGCUCAGUGUUCAUCUUUUGUCAAGCAUCUCCUGUAGAUUACUUUUAUAUGCUUUGUUGCUAUGUUGGAGUGCUGUAGCAUUGUUACUUGUUGCAUUUUAAGUGCUAUCAUGCUGUUAAUCACAGAUUCGUGUCAUUCUUGUUUUGCUUGCCAUUUGCAAACCGUGCAUCCGUUUCCGGUGAUCUUUAUAUCGAUUUCGACCGAAAUCAUCUCAUCUUUCCAGUGGAAUGCUUGGUUUGCCAAGUUACUGCCUUGUUCAUCAUUUUCCUUCCGGAGCACGCAUAUGCAUCGCAUAUCAUACAUGUUUUGGAUCAUGUUGCUUGUGCAUUUCUCGUGAUUGAUUGUGGUUCCGUUGCUUGUGUUCUUGUCUUGGGUAGAGCCGAGAGACGAGUUCAUGAACGAGGAACCUGUUGAGUACGCUUACGAGGAUCAAGCUCUCGACAACUCUGAGAACCUUGCAGGCAAGAUGACCACCCCUCGAAAUCACUUCUGUCUUUGCUUUGCUAGUUGUUCGUUCUAUUGCCAUGUCAGCCUCUAACCAUCCUUUCUUAGCAAACCGUUGUUUGGCUAAGUUACCGUUUUGCUCAGCCCUUCUUAUAGCGUUGCUAGUUGCAGGUGAAGUUGAAGUUGGUUCCAUGUUGGAACAUGGAUAUGUUGGGAUAUCACAAUAUCUCUUAUUUAAUUAAUGCAUCUAUAUAUUUGGUAAAGGGUGGAAGGCUCGGCCUUAUGCCUGUUGUUUUGUUCCACUCUUGCCGCCCUAGUUUCUGUCAUACCUGUCGUGGAAUUGUCACGACAGAUGUCCUCGUGCUAGGACUUAGUCGUGGAGCCAUCGCAGCUAGGAAGCUUAAAGGGGUUAAAUGGGACAAGGAACACGAGGGUUAUACUAGUUCGGCCCCUUACGGUGAAGGUAAAAGCCUACGUCCAGUUGAGGUGGUAUUGAUUAGGGUUUCGAUGACCAGGAGCUAAACCGUCUUGCCUGGUUAUCGAUUUUGUCUUACCCCUCCCUAAACCGCCGCCGGGUCGUCCCUUUAUAUAGACAGGUUGACGCCCAGCGGCUCUCAGAGUCCCGGCCGGCUCAUAACAGUGUCCGGCCCGGACUCUUAACUAUUCUUGCCUUACACUACAAGUUUCACCCUAACGGCGGUUAACACUACGGGCCUUAAGCCAUCUCCGGGUCUUAAGCCCAUUAUUGACCCGCCGUCUUCAAGUUUGGUGCUGGGCUUCGCGUGAUGACCAUUAUGACGUAACCCGGCCCCUCCUGGGCGGGUGACUCUAAUGGUUAUAUCCUCAACAUUAGGCCCCAGAUUGAUUUGAACCGGUUCAUGUCAAUCUUCAAUCCCUUUGAGAGAAAAUCUUCCGGCUUAUAUUUGUGUGAAGGUUAUAACCCGCCGUGACGUCAUCUUCUGGAUUCCUGAUAACCCGCCAUGACGUCAUCUUCCAUUAAGUUCAUUUUUUAUUGCCAUAUCUCAACGGAUCUUAUCUUUAAUGGUCAUCCCGAAAAUCGAGGCGCUUCUGUGGCGAGAUAAUCACGCCUUGGCCUCCUCGUUUCUCGCGCCCACUUAUUAGCCUCACCUUAUAAAUAGGCCCAGCCCGUAAGCCUUCAUUUACUUGUCGCCUCCAUCGUCUUCCUCCUCUGACACCCGAGAGCUCGAGCUCCGCCGCCGCUGCCGCUCUCCUGGUCUUCGUCAACCUCGGCCGCUGCAUCACCCUGACCUGUCCAGAGAAACGGCGGCGACCUCCGCGACUCAUCAGCACCCGUAAGUCCUUGCCACUGCAUAGAAUAGAUCCGCAUUAGGGUUCUUGCUGUUCUCCCCUGUUCUUCGCAGUUCGUCGCCAUUUCUUCACAGUUUCUUCUACACGGCCCCCUUAGAUCCAGAAAACAUAUACUCGUGCGGCUGUGGUUUCGGACCCAUUUUCAAUAGUAGCACGCCCCCUUUACUUGCAAAGAGAUCCCCUUAGAGCUCAUGAACUUCUCUGUAUCAGCUUUCUAGGUCUAGAAAUUUUUCCUUUUUAGCCGAUCGUUUGAUCCAAAAUAAUUACUGCGAUCUGUGAAACUUGUUUGCGCCACACUUAGUCAAAAAUUCCAUCUGUUUAGCUAUGGCGGCUCAUAUCUCUGGCUUAAAAGAGGCCACGCGCUGUAAAAUUUCCGGCUCAUUUAUGAUAAAGUUUUAGACAACUUGAAUUACUCACGAUGCCCUCAGCGGCUUAGAUAACCCGACGCAAUUAGCCAUAUGUCAUUAGGCCCCUUCAUAAGCCGCCAUCUUGAAUAUUGAACUGUAAACUUCCUCCGGCUUAUAGUUGAACCGGACAUUUCCUUUUGUCAUAGGCUUUCGUCUUUCACAAUGCCACCCAAGGCUCCCAAGGCACCCAUCACGUGCAACUGGAUGAGAUCCAAUGUUACUGAUGACACUUUAGCUGAUUUCGUGAAGACGGGUUACCUGCCCAAGAAGGAGGUCAUGUCUUAUCGUGCCCCUGACCCGUCGGAGGAAAGACCUCAACCAAGAGAUGGCGAGGUGGUGAUAUUUGCUGAUCACAUGAGCCGGGGCUUCGCACCUCCCGGCUCAAAAUUCUUUAGAGAUGUUCUGAACUUCUUCGAUCUGCGGCCGCAACACAUAGGACCCAAUUCCGUGUCGAAUAUUUGCAAAUUUCAAGUAUUCUGCGAAGUAUAUCUUGGAGAAGAGCCCAGCCUACUGCUUUUUAGGGAGUUGUUUUAUCUGAACCGCCAGAAUGAGUGCGCCAACGGGCCUAGCUUGGAGCUUGGCAGAAUCUCCAUUCAACGACGGAGAGAUUGCCUUUUCCCUUAUGCUGAGCCGCCAAGCCACCCAAAGGACUGGAACCAGACAUGGUUCUACUGCCAAGACACUUCUCCGGCUGAUGAGAGCCCUCUGCCCGGCUUUCGUGCCCUGCAUCUGGAGCCAACUCACCCCCUGCCAGACAAACUAUCUCAAGCUGAACGUUAACUACUGAUUCCUACCAUCAACAAGAUUAAGGCCCUUCUGGGAAAUGGCCUUAACGGCGUAGAUCUGGUCCGGGUCUGGAUUUCUUGGCGGGUGAUUCCCCUGAGCCGCCGCCCCGGCUUAAUGUGUGAUUACACGGGCCGGAAGGAUGACCCUUUGCGGCACAGCUCCAACGAUCUUCCUGAGGACGUCGUGGACGACAUGACCAAGUCUCUCUUGAAUGAGAGCUUAGCCGACUGUGGGAGGACCGGCUUAAGCCCCUUCUGCCAAGCUAACCUGGCUCCGGCGGUAAGCUACCAAUCUGAGCACUUUACCUUCCAUUUUAACAGUUUUCGUUUUAACUUCAAGGAAACCUUUAUUGCAUUUUUCCAGGCUAAUGACAAGUUCUGGAAGGUCAAGUAUGACCAUGAGGCUGCUAAAAAAGCCAGGAAAGCUAAGAAAGCCGCCAGGAGAGCCGCUCCCCGUAAGAAGGGAGGUAGGCCUAGCGCCUCAGAGCUGCUUCAGUUGGAUGAUAGCUCCGAGUCAGAGGUAACACUUGAUUCGUUAGGCUCCUAUUCUGCUUUUCGUCUGUUUUUUAACCACCUUAUUGACUUGAUUAUCCGCAGGAUGAUACCGGAGCGAGUAACCCGGUGACUGAAGAGGUAACUAUACUUUCCUCCGACUCGGACCCCUUGCCAAGGCUGAAAGUCCGAAGAGUUACCCGGAAAGUAAGAUUUUCGCAUCCUUUAGCUUAUCAAGAUCCUCAAUUUCUUUUGAAGCAACAGAUUCAUGAGAGCCGGAGGCAAACCCGGGCCAGCAAGGAUGCAGACCUCUCCUCCGGCUUACCCGAGGCAUCAUGAAAGCGCUGGACUGAGGUUAUCUCCAACUUAUACCCUUUUCAUCCUUUAGCGGGCGUCAUUCGUCAACCACUCAACUCGUCUGAUUCAAAUUAUCAGGAAACUUCACCUUCCUCUGGUGACUCCAUGCAAUCUAACCUGCCGGCUUUCAAGACCGCACCCGGGUAAUGAUAAUCAUCUCAUUUGUGCUUAUCUUAUUUAUGUUUUUUGUACUAAUCUUUUGACUUUCAGUGCCCAAGCCAAGCUCAGCAAAAGGGCCAAGAAAAAUAAGCCGGUCGAAGAGCCGGUCUUGACUGAACCGGAGGCUUCUGCUCAUGAGCUGCCAUCUGCCUCAGCCCCUGAAACCACCGCUCCAACUGACGAGCAAGUCACAGAGGAUUCUAAUAACCCGGAGAUCCCCAGCCCAGCUCAACCGGUCGAUGACCCGGACGUUGUAAUCACACGGACAGAGUUUGUCGAGCCGGGGAGACCCACUGCACUGGCUAAAUGCUCUGCCAAGGAGGAGCUGCUAGAGCGCCGCAGGGCCAAGCUGGAUAUCACCAACUAUGCUAACUUGAGCAUUGGAGAUAUCGUCUCCGGCUAUGUUAAUCAGGUGCACAACAGCCGGGACCUGGAGAUUGACAUGGUAAAGCAGAUACAACAAAAAUCUGAGGUACAACUCUCUUGCUUACUCCAUAGUCAUCCUUACCAUGCUAGCCCCCAAGUCUAUUACUUAUGAUAGAAUACGUUGUAGACUUAACUUCCAGCUUACCUUCAUGAACCGGCAAUUAUAAAUAGAAUCCUUCAGCAUACAUUAGCCCCAAGUGCCAAGUGUCUUUGCUUGCAAAGUGCUUGGGACUUUAAUGUUGCAUAAUAAUCACUCACACUGUAACCCGGAAUUUGUACAGGCUGCCUGCAAGAAAUUGGAAACUGAAAUCUCCGAGCUGAAGAACCGCCUGAAGACUCAGAAAACUGAGACCCGGAAGGCCAAUGCCAAAUUUGAGUUCAGUGUUGCUGCACAAGAAAAGCUGAAGAAGAAAUUUGAAACCGAAAGAAAGACUUGGGCCGAGGAGAAAACUGCUUUGGUCAGCCGGGCCGAACAAGCGGAGGCUGCUCUGACGGAGAGAACCGCCGAACUCUCCGGCUUAAAGCGCCAUGUGUCACAGAUGGUCGCCGCAAUCUUCGGUAAGUCAUUCUGCAAGCCUUUAACAAGCUUACAUUCUUUAUCUCUUAGAAAUCCCACAAUUGCCAUCAGUUCACCUAACUUUGUUAUGCAGGUCCCAGAAGCUCCAACCUUAAUCAGAAUGUUCUGACCAAGUUGAAGGCCGUGUACACCUUGGUGGAGCAACUCUACACCGGGUCACAACGUGCGUUAGCCGUUGUGGCUCUGUCCAACGAGGUUCCGACUCACCUGGCGGAUGUACUCAGGCGGCUUGCCGUUCUUCCUCAGCGCUUCCAAGAGCUAAGACGGGCCUCUGCAAGAGCCGGAGCUAUAGCUGCUUUGAGCCGGGCCAAGGCUUUUCUUCCGGAGCUAGACCCGGACGACAUCGCUCUUGGAUACCCCAGCCUGAAGGAAGACGUCACCCCCUUUGAUCAAAAAGACUUUGCUGCCUGUGUGAAGAGCGUGCGCCCGGUGGCCACCCUGAUUGGGAAUGACACCGACCUUACCAAGUAUCAGCCGGGCUACGACGCGGAAAAUCAGAGGAUCCCCACUCCACGUUAUGAAGCCAUCAGCUUGAUCCCUCCGACUCGUAAGCAUACCUUCGCCCCAGAAGUUGACCCGGCCGGGUUAAUUUAUGAUGAGGCUCAAUUUGAAGCUUUGAGCGGCAUUGACUGGAAAUCAUCAACCUUCCAGGUCAUGGAAUCAGCCGGAGGAGCGGAGAGGGAUGAGCCGGAAGCUUCGACCCAACAAGCACCUUAACUUUUUAGGCGGCUCAUGGUUACAUCUUGAAACAAUGCCUCACCUGUUGGACUCGGGGAAUCUUGUAAUAGAGUAGGCCAAAUACUUAAUUUUGUCGUGCCAUCGUGCACGUGUUGAAUGCUUAACUUCAUUUAAGCUACUCCUUCCUAUUCCUCCGGGUUACAAUUGAUCAUUUAUUUUCCUUAAGCUUGAGGAACGGUCUUUAAUUGUCCUGCAUAGAAAACAAAUCACAAGUCUCUGGGCGGCUUACCGCACUGAGAAUCAUAGACUUUAUAUAUAACCCGGAAUAUAAACCAAAGUCACCAAAGACUGGCCCUCAAUUAUAUCCUCGAUGUAACCAUAAUGGCAUACUUACAAGCCUUCAAGCAUGCUUCCGGUUUAUGUAACCCGGAUGAUGAGGUUGAGAUCUCAACUCCGGUUCACCAGCAUCAAUAAUACUUACUAUGCGCUAUCAAUGUUGUGAAUCAAAAUUAAGUCGGCGAAGUAAGAGCCGCCCUUGCACACUGUUGUAAAUCAGAAGAUCAAAACUUAGGGGCUUCCGGUUCGAAUACGACCAGAGAACCGUCCCAAAGGGGUUAAGCUAAGAUUCGAAUGCGAUCAUAUAGCCCCCAGUGGCUUUGGCGUUGCCGAUCAAGAGGGUACCAACAACUAUGUUCUCUUUGGUUCGAAUACGACCCAUGUUUGAACAGGAAGCCCCCAAAUGACCUUAAGAGUUGUUUAACGACGCUGAUUCGAAUACGAUCCACGUCGGUUCCCAAAGGGGGUUGAGCUAUGAUUCAAAUAUGAUCAAAGAAAACUCCCCAAUGAGCUCGGCAAUUUGCCAAUCAAGUGGGUAUCGACAACUAUGUUCUCUUUGUUCGAAUACGACCUAUGUUUGAACAGGAAGCCCCCAGGUGAUCAUAUUGUUUACGGCUAGAUUCGAAUACGAUCACAAGCCGGAUCCACCUCCAAGUGAUCAUGUGAUGUUGUAAUGGAAAUAACACGUUUUACCUUUGGAGGAGGAAAGGACAGAGGUCCUGCUUUAUUAUUUAUCAUAAUAUAUACAUGGCUAUAGAAAUAUGUACAUUAUGAGAGCCGGUGGCUCAAGUGUAAUAAGGCCGAAGCUGAACUAUGUUCCACGGCCGACGGGUCUCUUCCUCCGACUUGCGUGAAUCUUUGUGCUCCCGAACAUUGAUAAGGUAGUAUGACCCGUUGUGCAAGUUCUUGCUGACCACAAAGGGCCCUUCCCAAGGCGGGGAUAACUUGUGUGCAUCUGUCUAAUCUUGAAUGAGCCGGAGCACCAGAUCACCUUCCUGGAAGACCCGGGACUUAACCCGGUGACUGUGAUAACGGCGCAGGUCUUGUUGGUAAAUCGCCGAGCGAGCUGCUGCCACAUCACGCUGUUCGUCCAACAAGUCAAGAGCAUCUUGGCGCGCCCGCUCAUUAUCCGCCUCGACAUAAGCCGCCACUCGAGGCGAGUCAUGACGGAUGUCACUGGGGAGGACUGCUUCCGCUCCAUAAACCAUAAAGAAAGGCGUGUAACCCGUAGACCUGUUAGGAGUAGUAUUGAUGCUCCAUAACACGGAGGGUAACUCCUCCACCCAACAACCCGGCGUCCGUUGCAAAGGGACCAAAAGCCGGGGCUUGAUGCCCUUCAAGAUCUCCUGAUUAGUUCUCUCAGCUUGACCAUUGGAUUGAGGGUGAGCCACUAAUGAAACAUCAAGUCGAAUAUGCUCUCGUUGACAAAACUCCUCCAUGGCGCCCUUAGACAGAUUGGUACCAUUUUCAGUUAUAAUGCUGUGUGGAAAGCCGAAGCGAAAUAUAACCCUUUUCAUGAACUGAACCGCCGUGGCUGCGUCACACUUACUAACUGGCUCUGCUUCAACCCACUUUGUGAACUUGUCAACUACCACCAAGAGGUGGGUCUUCUUAUCCUUGGACCUUUUAAAAGGCCCAACCAUAUUAAGCCCCCAGACCGCAAAAGGCCAAGUAAUUGGAAUCAUCCUCAGCUCCUGAGCCGGCACAUGAGCCCGUCGUGAGAACCUCUGGCAACCGUCACAUUUACUGACCAAGUCCUCCGCAUCAGCAUGAGCCGUCAGCCAAUAAAAACCAUGACGAAAAGCUUUGGCCACAAGGGAUUUUGAGCCGGCAUGAUGGCCACAAUCCCCCUCGUGAAUCUCACGCAAAAUUUCUUGGCCUUCCUCAGGGGAAACGCAACGCUGGAAAGUUCCAGUGACACUGCGAUGAUGUAGCUCACCAUUGAUAAUUAUCAUUGACUUAGACCGCCGGGUUAUUUGUCUGGCCAAAGUUUCAUCCUCAGGCAACUCUCCCCGGGUCAUGUAAGCCAAAUAUGGUACUGUCCAGUCCGGGGUGAUGUGGAGAGCCGCCACCAACUGUGCUUCCGGGUCAGGGACAGCCAAGUCUUCCUCUGUAGGUAACUUAACAGAAGGGUUAUGCAAGAUGUCCAAGAAAGUAUUAGGCGGCACCGCUUUCGCUGAGAGCCCAGCCGACUUAAUGCAUCAGCCGCCUCGUUCUUCCUGCGAUCGAUGUGCUCUACUUGGUAACCCUGAAAGUGUCCAGCAAUGGCAUCAACUUCACGACGAUAAGGCGCCAUGAGAGGGUCCUUGGAAUCCCACUUGCCUGAUACUUGUUGAGCCACUAAAUCUGAGUCGCCAAAGCACCUUACCCGGCUCAAGCUCAUCUCCUUAGCCAUCCGAAGACCAUGGAGCAAGGCCUCAUACUCAGCCGCAUUGUUAGUACAAGGAAACAUCAAUCGUAGCACAUAACGAAACUUGUCACCUUUAGGGGAAGUCAAUACAACUCCAGUCCCCGAGCCCUCCAAUUGCCUAGACCCAUCGAAGUGAAUAGUCCAAUAUGUAUUAUCCGGCUUCUCUUCAGGCACCUGCAGCUCUGUCCAAUCGUUGAUGAAAUCCACCAAUGCUUGAGAUUUGACAGCAGUGCGUGGUACGUAUUUCAGACCAUGAGGCCCAAGCUCUAUAGCCCACUUAGCCACUCUUCCUGUAGCUUCUCUGUUUUGGAUGAUAUCUCCAAGGGGAGCAGAACUAACCACAGUGAUGGGGUGACCCUGGAAAUAAUACUUAAGCUUCCGGCUUGCCAUGAACACACCAUAAACAAGCUUCUGCCAAUGUGGAUACCGCUGUUUAGACUCAAUGAGCACUUCACUGACAUAGUAAACCGGCCGCUGAACCGAAUACUCCCUAUCCUCUUCCUUGCGCUCCACCACCACACCCACACUGACGGCUCGUGUGUUAGCAGCUACAUACAGUAAUAAGGGCUCCUUGUCAACCGGAGCAGCAAGAACUGGGGGCUCAGCCAGCUGUCUCUUCAAAUCCUCAAAAGCAGCAUUAGCAGCAUCAUUCCAGAUAAAGUCAUCUGUUUUCUUCAUCAACUGGUACAGCGGCAUGGCCUUUUCACCCAAACGGCUGAUAAACCGGCUUAAAGCAGCGAUGCGGCCUGCCAGACGCUGGACGUCGUUGAUGCACGCCGGUUUAGCCAGAGAGGUGAUUGCCUUUAUAUUUUCUGGCUUAGCUUCAAUGCCUCUGUUAGAAACCAGGAAACCCAAGAGCUUGCCUGCGGGAACACCAAAAACACACUUGGCCGGGUUAAGCAUCAUCUUGUAAACCCGGAGAUUAUCAAAGGUUUCUCUAGGGUCAUCGACCAAGGUCUCCUUCUCCCUGGACUUAACCACGAUAUCAUCCACAGAGGCAUGAACAUUGCGCCCAAUCUGGUUAUGAAGACAAUUCUGCACACAACGCUGAUAAGUCGCCUGUGCACUCUUGAGUCCAAAAGGCAUAGACACAUAACAGAAGGCUCCAAAGGGACUGAUGAACGCCAUCUUCUCCUGGUCCUUAACUGCCAUUUUAAUCUGAUGGUAUCCAUAAUAAGCAUCCAAAAAACUUAAACGCUCACAACCCGCCGUAGCAUCAAUGAUUUGAUCAAUACGAGGGAGAGCAAAAGGAUCAGCCGGACACGCCUUGUUUAAGUCCGUGUAGUCCACACACAUCCGCCAGGUGCCAUUCUUCUUGAGCACGAGCACCGGGUUAGCUAACCAUUCUGAAUGAAAGACUUCGACAAUAAACCCGGCCGCCAAGAGCCGGGCCACCUCCUCACCAAUGGCUUUCCGCCUCUCCUCAUUAAACCGCCGAAGGAAUUGCCUGACCGGCUUAAAUUUCGGAUCGAUAUUGAGAGUGUGCUCAGCGAGUUCUCUAGGUACACCAGGCAUGUCAGAAGGUUUCCAUGCGAAAAUGUCCCUAUUCUCACGGAUGAACUCGAUGAGCCCGCUUUCCUAUUUUGGAUCCAGAUUGGCACUGAUGCUAAAUUGCCGAGAUGAGUCACCUGGAACGAAAUCAACAAGUUUAGUCUCAUCAGCUGACUUAAAUUUCAUUGCCGGCUCAUGCUCCGUGGUCGGCUUUUUCAGAGAUGUCAUAUCUGCUGGGUCAACAUUGUCCUUGUAAAACUUCAACUCCUCUGUUGCACAAACAGAUUCUGCAUAAGCCGCGUCACCUUCCUCACACUCCAAGGCUAUCUUUCGGCUGCCAUGAACCGUAAUGGUCCCAUUGUGACCCGGCAUCUUGAGCUGUAAAUACACGUAACACGGCCGUGCCAUGAACUUGGCGUAAGCCGGCCGCCCAAAUAUAGCAUGAUACAGACUUCUUAUCUUGACCACCUCAAAGGUCAUUUUUUCCGCUCUGUAAUUGUACUCAUCUCCAAAGGCCACUUCCAGCUCGAUCUUACCCACUGGAUAUGCCGACUUACCAGGCACCACACCAUGGAAAACAGUAUUGGACUGGCUGAGGUUCUUAUCAAUCAGCCCCAUACGACGGAAGGUCUCAUAAUAGAGGAUGUUGAUGCUGCUGCCUCCAUCCAUGAGCACCUUAUGAACUUAUAUCCCCCCACCCGAGGAGCCACCACCAGGGCCAGGUGACCCGGAUUAUCAAACCGGGGAGGGUGAUCUUCCCUACUCCACACAAUAGGCUGCUCAGACCAUCUUAAAUAGCGUGGAACCGCCGGCUCAACAGCAUUCACAACCCUCUUAUGAAGCUUCUGAUCUCGCUUACACAGACUGGUGGUAAACACAUGAUACUGUCCACCAUUGAGCUGCUUUGGAUUGGUCUGGUAUCACCCCUGCUGCUGUUGAUGACCCUGGCCGGACUGCUGAUUAAAGCCCCCUUGAACAUUCUGAGGAUUGGAAUUUGAGCCGCCGCCCGGGCCAUGAAAGCCGCCAGCGCCUGAGCCGCCGCCCGAGCCAUUGUUGCCAUUAAAGGCAUUGGAAUUCUUAAAGGCCUUCAUGAUUGCGCAAUCUUUCCAUAGAUGAGUAGCUGGCUUCUCCCUAGAGCCAUGCCUUGGACAAGGCUCAUUCAACAACUGCUCCAGCGUCGGGCCUGACCCGCCGGCUCGGGGAGGUGGCCUCCCCUUACGUCGCUGGUUGUUACCCUGUGAGCCGGCGUUAGCCACAAACUCUAUGCUGCCAUCGGCCUUACGCUUGCUACCUCCUUGGUUCGCCGGGUUAUGCUGAGGACCCUUGCCAUUGCCGUUCUUCUUUCCCUUCCCUGUCCUUUCAUCAUCUGACGCGGGGUCCUUGGUACUAUCAGAGUCGGCGUACUUGAUGAGAGCCGCCAUCAGUGUACCCAUAUCAUUGCAAUCGCGCUUGAGCCGCCCGAGUUUCAUCUUCAGGGGCAGGAAACGACAAUUCUGCUCCAACAUUAAGACUGCAGAGCCGGCAUCCAUCUUAUCAGAUGAAUGUAUUAUCUCUUUGACCCGGCGAACCCAAUGGGUUGUGGACUCUCCCUCCUGCUGUUUAUAGUUAGUCAAAUCCACAAUUGACAUAGACUGCCCACAGGUAUCUUUGAAGUUUUGGAUGAACCGGGCUUUCAGCUCAGCCCAAGACCCGAUAGAAUUCGGUGGCAGCCCUUUCAACCAAGUGCGGGCAGUCCCAUUUAACAUCAUGGUGAAGUACUUGGCCAUUGCUGCUUCGCUGACCUCCAGCAACUCCAUGGCCAUCUCAUAACUCUCGAUCCAGGCUCCGGGUUGUAAAUCAGCCGUGUAAUUAGGCACCUUCCUAGGCCCUUUGAAAUCCUUGGGCAGACGUUCAUUGCGGAGAGCCGGCACUAGACAACGGACACCUCCAGUCCUUGUAGGGAUACCCACGUCGAUGGAAGCCGUCGGAUAAGCCGGGGGUGGCUGGUAAGCCGUCAACUGUGGCACCUGCUCCGCCUCUUGCCGUGCUCUGUCUUGGUCUACUGCGUGAAAGGCUCCGUUAUGAGCCGGGCCGUGGCCAGGAGGCAAGUCAUGGCGUCGGACAUUACUUGAGCCGGUCGCCGAGACCAUGUGUCUGCUAUAACUCGGGCUCCGGCCUGGACGAGGGGUUGAAUGAAUCCUGUCCCGGCUAUAAGAAUAUGCCUCUUGCUGCGCCAGAGCCGUCUGAAGGAGUUCUCUGACCCGUCGGGUUUCAACCGCCGUUGGAGAGUCACCAUCAAUUGGGAGAGCCGCCAGCCGCACCGCCGCGGCGACCAUGUUUUCCAACGGGUUGGCAUAAUGACCCGGUGGUAUUGGUACGUACUGAGGCGGGGCAGGGUUCACCCGGGGAGGUCCCAUCACUUGGGGCUGAAUUGGCGUCCCAGCCCCGGGCACUAUGAUCUCUGGCGGGUUACUAGACCCUGCACCCGGCGUGUUGAAGAGGUUUCAAGGAUCGUAAACCGGAGGGAGUCGAGAUUGGGCCUUUUGAUGCCUCCUUCUCAUGACCUCAUUGGACGCGUUUUGAUCCAUCGUGAGCCGGAAGGACUGUGCCUGAAUCAGCUGAGUCUGGGCGUCGAGAGCCGCCCUCUCUGCAGCCAUCCUGAUCCCCUCCACUGCCAGAUCCUCCUUGGCCUUUGCUAGAUCCAACUUUAACUGUGCCACCUCCGCGUCAUGCUGAACUUGAUCCGCCGGAGCAACCGUAGCGGUCAACAGGACCGUCAUCUUGUCUGUGAGAUCCAUCAGCACCUGAGCCGGCGAAGGCACCGGGCUUCCUGACCCGGAGGCGGGGUUUUGAACAGGUUGCGCGCCGGCCAUGAAGAUUCCAACCCGGCUCGGCGGCUCAAAGGGGUCCGGAAUGCUGUCUCCAUCGGAACAACCCCUGAGCCUGCCAUCUUGAAGUUGAUACAACGAGUUUGACUCAUCCGUAGACGACUCGCCGUCAGAGCCAGCGACCGUCUCAUCACCAGAUCCAGAUCCUUCAGAGAGUCCUCCAUGGACACAUCCCACAAAAGCAUGCUUCAAGGCAGGUAAAGCCCGGGCGGGUCGUGCACGCUGAGCCGUCUCGAUGAGAUCGGCGUAGAGAUCCGGCUCAGGGCCCGGCUCACCAAUCUUGCCAAUGAAGACAUGAAUUCCGCCGAAGGGGACCCGGUACCCGUACUCAAUUGAGCCGGCGUCGGGGCCCCAGUUUGCAUAAUCGAUGUAGAGCUUGCUGCGACGACUCUUGGUCAUCCGGCCCACAGCGUAUCCCUUGAGCCCUUCGAAGCUGCCCUUCAAGAACUCAAAUCCACCGUGCGCGGGCCCCACGGUGGGCGCCAACUGUCGUGGAAUUGUCACGGCAGACGUCCUCGUGCUAGGACUUAGUCGUGGAGCCAUCGCAGCUAGGAAGCUUAAAGGGGUUAAACGGGACAAGGAACACAAGGGUUAUACUAGUUCGGCCCCUUACGGUGAAGGUAAAAGCCUACGUCCAGUUGAGGUGGUAUUGAUUAGGGUUUCGAUGACCAGGAGCUAAACCGUCCUGCCUGGUUAUUGAUUUUGUCUUACCCCUCCCUAAACCGCCGCCGGGUCGUCCCUUUAUAUAGGGAGGUUGACGCCCAGUGGCUCUCAGAGUCCCGGCCGGCUCAUAACAGUGUCUGGCCCGGACUCUUAACUAUUCUUGCCUUACACUACAAGUUUCACCCUAACGGCGGUUAACACUACGGGCCUUAAGCCAUCUCCGGGUCUUAAGCCCAUUAUUGACCCGCCGUCUUCAAGUUUGGUGCUGGGCUUCGCGUGGUGACCAUUAUGACGUAACCCGACCCCUCCUGGGCGGGUGACUCUAAUGGUUAUAUCCUCAACAAUACCGGUAUUAUGUUCCUUGAGUUUGCGUUCCUUACGCGGUCGGGUGAUUUAUGGGACCCCUUUGACAGUUCGCCUUGAAUAAAACUCCUCCAGCAAGGCCCAACCUUGGUUUUACCAUUUGUGACCUAAGCCUUUUUCCCCCGGGUUUUCGCGAGCCCGAGGGUCAUCUUUAUUUUAACCCCCCGGGCCAGUGCUCCUUCGAGUGUUGGUCCGAAUCGAGCAGCCCGCGGGGCCACCUCGGGGAAACUCGAGGUCUGGUUUUACUCGUAGCUUGACUUAUCCGGUGUGCCCUGAGAACGAGAUAUGUGCAGCUCCUAUCGGGAUUUGUUGGCGCAUCGGGCGGCUUUGCUGGUCUUGUUUUACCAUUGUCGAAAUGUCUUGUAAACCGGGAUUCCGAGACUGAUCGGGUAUUUCCAAGAGAAGGUUUAUCCUUCGUUGACCGUGAGAGGUUAUGAUGGGCUAAGUUGGGACACCCCUGCAGGGUAUUAUCUUUCGAAAGCCGUGCCCGCGGUUAUGAGGCAGAUGGGAAUUUUGUUAAUGUCCGGUUGUAGAGAACUUGUCACUUGACCAAGUUAAAAUACACUAAUUGCGUGUGUAGCCAUGAUGGUCUCUUCUCGGCGGAGUCCGGAAAGUGAACACGGUUUGAGUUAUGAAUGACGUAAGUAGGAGUUCAGGAUCACUUCUUGUUCAUUACUAAUUGACGACCGUUCCGUUGCUUCUCUUCUCGCUCUCAUUUGCGUAUGUUAGCCACCAUAUAUGCUUAUUGCCUGCUGCAGCUCCACCUCAUUACACCAUCCUUUCCUAUAAGCUUAAAUAGUCUUGAUCUCACGGGUGUGAGAUUGCUGAGUCCUCGUGACUCACAGAUUCUACCAAAACAGUUGCAGGUGCCGAUGAUGCCAGUGCAGAUGAUGGGAUCGAUCUCAAGUGGGAGUUUGACGAGGAACGUGGUGGUUACUAUGUGUCUUUUCCUGAUGAUCAGUAGUGGAGCCCUGUUGGGACGAUCGGGGAUCUAGCAUUUGGGGUUAUCUUAUUUUCAUUUGGAUCUUGACCGUAGUCAGUCUAUGUGUGUAUUUUGGAUGAUGUAUGAAUUAUAUUUAUAUAUUGUGUGAAGUGGCGAUUGUAAGCCAACUCUUUAUCCCAUUCUUGUUCAUUACAUGGGAUUGUGUGAAGAUGACCCUUCUUGCGACAAAACCACUAUGCAGUUAUUCAUCUAAGUUGUGCCUCGACACGUGGGAGAUAUAGCCGCAUCGUGGGCGUUACAAGUUGGUAAUCAGAGCCAUCCCCGACUUAGGAGCCCCCUGCUUGAUCGAAUCGCUGGCGUUGUUGAGUCUAGAACAAAAAAAGUUUUGAGUCUUAGGAUUAUAUAUAUCGGAGAGUAGGAUUCUUUUUUACUCCUCAGUCCCUUCGUCGCUCUGGUGAGGUCUCCUGACGUAGAAGUUUUGACUCUUCUCUCCUCAAAUUUCACAAAAAAAAAAAA
rnacentral:lncRNA from 1 species